rnacentral:lncRNA from 1 species
UCUGCCUUCCUCAAUUCCAUUGUCAGCAACAAGUGGUUUCAGCUCUUUGGGUACGAAGUUCAGUCUAGUGCUGUGUCUUUACAAAGAAAGGGGUCUAUACCACAUGCUUGCUCUCUAUAUUCCAUUCAGUAUUAGUGGGGGAGUUGGGUCAGAAUCAAAUCUCAAGUAAUCCGUGAAGUCGACCAGAGAAUCCAAAGUAGCAUCAGUAGUUGGUCAGCAACAGGAUCAUAAUAUGGAGCAAGGAUCUUUAUAAGAAGCUAUAUCCGGAGUAGGAACAGAAGAAACUGGAUAAGAUUAAGGAGUUGGCUUACCAGAAUAAAGGCAAGAGAAGGAUCUGAAUCUAAAGCUGGAUCUGGAAGGGAAAUAUAGGCUCAAGUCAACCAGAUAUAGAGUCCACUGAAAUGGGUUCGGGCAAGUUCAAUGACUGUUUUAGCGCGAGAAGGGCCAAGCGACUACUCAAGUAAAGUUCCCCAUUCUAUUCUUUUAUAGUAGGUUGCUUUCUCUGGACCUAUGCUUACCGGUGGAGGAACGGGUCUUAUGCCUACUAGUUAGUGAUUGCACUCCCAAGUUCAAUUCUGUGGAUUGUCCCUAUCAUUCGCGCUUCAUUACCUCCGAUCCGAUACCCGAUUCUUUGACUUUGUAGCUCAACUCCCUAUUCCUUGUUCGAUUCUCCCCACUCCCAUACGUUAAUGGACUAAACUCGGAACACGGAUAAACAAGCAUGAAUCUCGGAACUAAGCCUUUCGCUAGUGCUUUCAAGACUCGAACCGGGGCUAAUGGGGCUUACCCCACAGACAAGGGAAUCUAUCUGCUGACAAACAGACCUGUCCUGGCGCUUCUCAUACUUAUACUAGAAACUGGGAAUCGAGCUAUUGCCUUUAAGACUAGAAGAGCUACUGCAUUGGAUCUAGCGUCAAACUACCUCUCCUUGUACCAACUCUGGAUUGUUAAUGAAAGAGUAUACACCUAUUACAUAUAAUACAGAUUGAAAUCAAUGAGAAGAGAAAAAGAUUGGAACACUGUCCCCAUACGCUGAAACCGCUAUUAUCAUACUUAUGGAAUCAAUAAGGGAAUCAAAUAAGAACUAAAGUAAUACAGAAAUGAACUAUAGGACAUACACAAAUAGAACUCCUAAAGUAAGGCUCGAACUCGCAACUAGCUCUCUCGGGCAUACAAGGGUCGAACAAGGGUAUACAAGAAAGGCUGCUACUACUUAUAGAAUCCAACUAGCACCAACACAAGACUUACGCCUUAACACAUCCAAUCCAACUAUCAACUGCAGAACUCAACACUGCACUGGCAAUUCCACUCAUAAGUAAAGAAUGAGAAGCUACCAAGUAAAGCUCUCACUCUCACUAAAUAAUGGGGUCAAGUAAUAGGAGACUUAAGGCAAGGUAGUUAGCCGAGUUUCCAGUAGUUCCAAUCUACAUUAUGUAAGAUCAAGUAUGAGAAGGCACAGUUCAGGCCCUAUCAGUAGUCGCUUUAGUCUAAUAGUCUGAUUGAAGAUCUUAUCAAUAGUAGUUGUAGCCUUCUUUCUUAGUACAAGUCCCUUAGUGCACUGAUCCAUUCCCAGCUCCGAGUUUAAUGUCCCUGUAAAAGGUAGAGCUGUGGUUUGCUCCAAUUACUAUAAGCAAAUACUAGAGCUGCUCCUAUUACUAGAAUCAAAUACUAGGUAAAUAACCCUGUGACUAUAAUAAACUAACUCGCUAAUAGAGUAUAAGAUAAUAUAAGAUCAUGUUUGAACAAGCCAAUCAGAAGCUAUGCAGUAUCUCGGCUCGGGGAAGAAGAUAUAUAAAGUCAUUCCGGAAUAGUAGGGCUAUUAGCAAGUUCUUAAAAUGGAGUGGAUUGGCUUUCCUGAGCCUGAUGCUUGGGUGUUACAGAACCCAAUCAGUGAGUUACAGGCUGCAGCUGGGUAGUUAGGGAAUAGAGCCAGUGCUAGGCAGGCUUCAACACGGUUAGAAGAUACAAGCUACUACUGGGUGCUCUAAGGCAUACAUACACUUACUAGUGCUAGCUCCCGAGCACAUAGAUAGUUUCAUCCCUUGUUUGAUCUGGAAUCCUUAAUAAAGAUAGAGAAAAUGAACCACUCGCCAAGUAACUACAAAUGUGUGUGACGAGUAAGAACAAACAAACAAGGGCUGGGCGCCAGAGAGAAUAAAUGAGUCCUGGAGUCUAGGGUUAAGAAAAGAAGCAAGCAAUAUAGAAGCAAUGGGUUUAGUUUACUUUCAUUAUAUGCGAGAGAACAAGCAACGUAUUAGAAUGUUGCACUCACUGAGCUCUGGGGGGCAAAUAGAUGAGUUCGGGUCUCUCUUUCUGUCCUUCUCAAGCACGUAAGCUUACUCUUAUCGGGCUGCCUAGCGGAGUUCAAUAUGUAUGCAGUGUUUAGAGAGUCUUUCUUUUGACUCAAUUCCAUACUAUGAACGCUACAUGAUUUAAGCUACGGGAAUUCACAAAAGCACAAACAAGGGCUUCUCUGUACUGAAGUAGUAAACAAGCAACGGAACAAGAAGUUUCAUGCUCCAACUACACUCACUUAAUCCAAAUAGGCUUUCUAAACAAGCACUUUAGCAGCGACUUACGCUCGCACAAGCACUUAUACUUCUGGGGAACUCUACAUUCAUCUGGAAACUAUCCUUUCCACUUUCCUUCCUGCUUCGUCGACAACAAAUCAUCUUGUUCCUGAGCCUGCUGUUGAUUCUCUUGUUGACUUGAAAGCAGUUUCUCCAGCUUAUAAAACGGAUCUUGUUCCUACCCCAACUCAAAAGUGAGAAUGGAAAUGAUAUCUUUUACCCGAGCCCUGUAAAGAAGGAUGGAAAUACCCAGCUACCGAUCCCAAUAGAGUAUUAGUAUAUGCGCUCUCAAGAAGAAAUUCCACAAUUCAUUAUUUGUUGCUCUAAGGGAAUAAAGUCUUGUAUGGAAUAGAGGGUAACGGGUCAUUAGAGAAUCAGAGGUGUGUUGGCUGAAGAAGGCUAUUCUCUAAGUAAGGGAAGGCGCCGGAUUGAAAGUGCAAACCCAUGUGAAACUCAACUUCGAGUAAAGAACUGUGGAACUAGUAUUUGAAAGAGAAGCUAGAGCGGGACAAUCACCGAACCUAGACUUUACUCACACAAGGACUCAUCCUUAAGAAGGCUAUCCAUAUAUAUAAAGUAAGGGAUAACAUUGAGAUGAAAUUCAUUAUUGGAAUUAUGGGGUUUCCUCUGCGCCGAGGACUCCUUUUGAGGCGGGCUAUCAUGUCCAGCGCUAAGUAUGGAAAGUUCCUGUUCUAGUUGUUGGCGAUGAGUCUCCUUCUUUUCUUGUUAAGUCUUAGAGAUAAUAUGCGGGAUCAGACUCUGUAUCAAGUGAAGAAACAGAAGAAUAGGGUUGUGAACUAGAGAAUAGGGUUUAGCUAGGUAUAAUAGAAGAAGGUAACUGCCCAGAAUAAGGGGUUACUAAGCCACCUAAAGAAGGUCACUCACCCACCUAACAUACUAAAGCGAGAAAGGAUCAAUUCAUGUUUUCCUUGACUCGGCACAAGAAGAUGAAGUAGAACAAGUAUAAGGUAGAUCACCAUCAGCAACAAGUGGUUUGCCAGGAAUAUUGGCGGGUCUUUGAACAGGUUGAUUCUCAAGUAGAUGAUAAGCCCGUAUCAAGCCUACCAUCUCUCUCUCAUGAAAGUGUUUCCAUACCGUCUCCGAAAGACAGAAAGAAAUAGAUUCCAUAUCCGUGUGGCCCUGGUUCCUGAUUCCACUGGUUGUAAGGCAAUAUGCUGGGUCAGAAGGAAGAGCAAGAGCAAACAUCAUCUUAUCUGGGCUCUUCUCUGGAUCUUUAUUCGGCAGCUGCCAGUAUUAGACUGCCCUUGCUUUUGUUCCCCGAACUCAAUAAGAAAGUCAAGGUGUUUAUUCCCUGUGCAAGAUAAUCCAUUAAUGUUUUCCUCAGUGCAAGAAUGAGGGUAGCCGAAAACUUGCCCAAUAAGACGCCUCAGUGCGGGUAAAGGAAGGGAUUGGUUUCAAUUCAUGUUUGACAGUUUUCCCUUGACAACUUCAUAUUUCAAGGCAAGAAAGAAACAAGUUUAGUGCACAAAAGGUAAAGUUUCAUAAUUAUAUGUUGGCAGUUCCAGUUUAGGGUCAAUUCGUUCUUCGGCGCAAAGAGAUUUGAAAGUUUCUGUUCGAGUGUCGGUAAGUAAAUCAGGUGUGAAAGUAUAAGUUGAAGUUGGAAUAGCUAGAAGAGACUCUGUUCUGAGGCGAAAAUGUAUUUAUACAGCCUUUCUGAGGUCAACAUAGGGAAUUAGCCAUAAUCAAAGUUUCCCAUAGGUUCCACUUAGAAAAAAGGGGCAACUAUUGGAUUGGGGUGCUGUGCCGCUAGAGCUCAAAGUAGUGUAGUUGGAGUUAUCAGAGAGAAAAGAGCUUCUGCGCUCGAGAGAACAAGUAGCGUCUCUUGCUACUAAGUGUGUUAGGAAGAGGGAGUUUGAAGCGUUAAGUAUUGCCCGAAACUAGUGCAUCAGUUCAAUCAGUUCAAUUAACAGUUUAAUAAGCUUUAUUGGGAUAAGCAGCUGUAGAAUAGACAAGAGAAAAAGCAGUGCCCAUUGAAUAAACAUGAUCGGGAUCGGAAGAAAAUCCUUCUCACGUGCUAAGUCAAUCAGUGUCAGAGUAUCAAGAAUAAUAAAGAGGCAAAAGUCAGCGGAACAAGAAGGAAGAACACUAUGAAAUAACCCUUACUUAAUCGACCCGACCCCUUAACGAGGCAAAACUCACCCAUAUCCGACACAAGAACAGAAAGAGACUUUUUCACAGGCAAGUAACUACUAACGACCAAGCAACUAAGCAAGACGUUGGGCGGUAGCCAUGAAUAACGAGUUAUAACGAAUUAUUACUAAGUCUUGUGUUCUAGCGGCAGGAAGUUUACCGGGAUAAAAGGUGAGGGUAGAAAGGAAAGGACCUGUAUAGGAGUGAGUGAAGUCGACAAUAGAAUCAGCAGCACGGCAAGUCAGGAUAUCAUGCAAGCGAAGCGGUCAGUUCCGUUUCAAUACGAGUGCACCCUUUUGCUCGAACACUUAUGUAAUUCCAUAAAGUCAGCUACUACGCGGGAUAAGAAUAAGAGUCUGAGGUGCCCGCUCCUUCUACUAGUUGGAAAGUUGAUGUUUCAUCGUUAAGAGAGUCUCUUUGCUUUGCGGCAGAUAUAUAAGUAGCCCACUACAAGACAAGGUUUCAAGAGGGUAAAGGCCAUGCAGGAAGGAAAGAUGUUGGCACCGAGCGGUUUGGUUCUUAACUUCAAAGAUAGGUGUGAUUGAUUGGCUUUUCCCCUGAGUUUCAUCGUAUAAAUAAGCGGGAUCCGGAAUAGAAGUAGGAUAUGGAUCUGGAUCUCAAGUGAUAUAUGAAGCUGUAUCCAUGCAAAGAGAGUAAGGAAUUCCAUAGAUAGGCCUUAAGUUGAAGCGCUUCGUGUAGUUCUUUUUUCAAGAUCAAGAUCACCAUCAGUGAAUCAAGUUUGGUGUUGGCGCCGGAUCAGACAAGGAACUUCCAGUGAUUUUCCAGAUUCCAGUCGAGUUCCAGUUCUUGUUUAGAGAGAUGCUUCUUCAGUUGAGUUUGCCGGAUCAAGACUUAGUGCUAUAAUGCUUACUUCGAGAAUAACCCUCUUUAAUCAAUAGGAAUAUAAGAUUUCUUAAUAGUAGGUAGUUUGAUCACUUUAUUGCCGAACGAUAGACUCUCGUAUAGAAUUAUUUCCCUUGUGAACUCCCGUUAGUUGAAGACAGGACAGGAAUACUAUGAAUUAUGUCGUUAGCUUACUGUUUCUCUUACGGAGGGGAGGGGUUCAGUCAAUAAAAAGCUAGCCGGGUUAGGCUACGUAAGCACGUAUAAGAGUCCAGUUUUAGGGAGCUCUUGUUGGGGGCUUAAUGGAGUCAUUUUCCAUAAUAUGAGUUGACCCCGCGACUCGAAAGAAAGGCUCCGGUCUCUUGUUAAGGGAGUUCGGAUAGCCCAUGUAAUGUAGCGGUUAAUGCUUGAUCGAGAGACUCCGCAGAUAGACUAACUGUUUGACAAGGGACAACCCCAACUAGAACAAGUGCUCUAAGGCGUAAGUGAGUGACUCAAGCAACAAGUGCUCUAAGGCGUAAGUGAGUUAUUAAAGCGCAUCAGUGGCAGUUCCAUUCUCAAGGGAUUUUGGGUAUUUCCUCAAAUCUAUACAAAGUGGCAACGUCUGCUUCUACAAGUUCCGAGUCAGGAUCAGUUUCAUCAGAGAAUGGAUCUUCAUAAGGUAAAGAACAAGUCCAAGUUGGUGCCCCAACUAGUAAGGCGGAGUUAUUAACAAGUAGGGCUUGACCACGGGCAUACCAUAGAGAAUACGGCUUGGCUACUAGGCUGCUGGCUCUGCUUCCUUCUAUAGAUAGUAAUGAGUUGGCUUCUUCUCAUGGGAUAGUAAUGAGUCGGCUUCUGAUCUGAUCUCUUGGGGGGCUCUGACUGACGCGCAACUAGACUGACGCCGAGCACAUCUUCAGUGAAACCAAGGUUCGAACUUACUACUAGCAUAACCCUUCCUUGAUCCAACUCUAACUAUGCUUGCUUUUAGUCUAACAUUCCUCGCCGUAAAACGGAUAUUACUUACUAUAGCUUUCUCGCUUGUUAGUUAUAGACUUUCACUGCUGUUUCUAAUGCUUUAUCAUACCAGCUUUUGAGCGGAAUUGCUAGUUUCUUUUUUCAACCUUAUAGGUAAGGAGCUACAUUCUUGUAUUCCCAGUCCCAUUCCAUUAGGUAGUAUAGUAAUAGUAGCCUUGGAAGCAGCAGUUCCAUCUUAUAUUCUAGUUUUUAGUUGACGAGCGAAAGUAAAGGUAAAGGUAGCAGGCCUAACCUAAUCCUCUAAUAAGCAAGAAUACUUGUAAGUAGUGCCAGCUUGAAGGCAAAGGGUAAAGGCUUAGUUCCUUUUAUAGUUCGUAGUUGCCGAACAAAGGACUUGUUUCUAACUAGAGAAGAAAGGACUUGUACUGGCUUUGAGACGAGGUCUAAUUGAACUAGCCACUCCGUUAGUGCUUCCUUGCCUGUGUCAUCUGUCUUUGUCGGGUCUGCAAGGAAAACAGUAAGCCCGCUCCUGCCGCGUAACCGGUAACUCCUGUAUUGAACAAAUAUCACUAGUUGACUUACGAGCAAUAGAUAGCGGGUUCAAAAUGCAUUUCUACAUUGGAAUUGGUCAAUAGGCGAGCAGACAAGUAAUUACUAUAAGAAAAGAAUACGAUGAAAGAGAUGAGCUUAUAUAUACACGAUGACAUUUUCAAAGAGCUAGAUGAUCUUCCUUCCUCGGGACAAGAAGUUUAGUAACCAACUUCUCUGGCUUCUGCUUUAGCCUCUUCUUCUACUCUAAGGGAUCUUUACUUCCCGAAUUAUGUAUUAGGCCUUCUCCAACCCUCGCAACUUUACUAGUCAAUUGAAUUCAACGGUAUUCUUACACCUGCACAGAGCACCGAGUUCCGGAAGGUAGAAAACUACUUCAGAGGAUUUACUGGUAUAAAACUACAGAAUCAAACCAGAAGGUAGAAAACGUACGAAUCAAACCGCAACUACUAUUAAGAAAGAGAACCUGUGUCCUGACUUAAUAUCCUCUCUGGCAACUAAUUCUAUUCUUGAGCUUGGCCCCUUCCCUUGCUUUGACAAAAGAAUCAAACUCAAAACUAUUCUGUAAUAAAGUAAUCUCACUGCUGACUUUAAGACAGUACACUGCACAACGGCACAAUAAGUUCAAUGUUCUUUCUUUUAUCACUGACUAUCCCCGAAGUUUUUUCUCACUCCGCUCCGCCACUAAGCUAAUGCGCAAGGGCCUAGUUUCUGAGACUUAUUGAAAGGAAUAACUAGUUUCUGAGACUUAUUGAAAGGAAUCAAAUAAUAGUGUGCACACACCACUUAUAGACUGAAGUAACGAACCCGCAUUGCUUGUUUUGAUAAGUGCCCCCCUAUUCUAUAAUAACGUAAAAACGGAGCAUUACUUGAAAACUCACUGGAUACUAGGCAGACGAUAGACCCUUGCUUUCACCCUAGCCUAUGAAGAUAGACCCUUGGUUGCAACCUAGCCUAUACGGAAAAGAAUCUAUCGUUCACCAAAAAUAGAAGAGAGUAACCAAACCUAUUACUAAAGACACAAACUCUCUCUCACGUUAGCGCCCCGCAACAAUGAGGAUGGGCACCCAGAUAGUCAAAGAAGAGAAUUAAAGCACCUACCCCGGAAGAUAGUAAGCUAACUGUUAACGUUAUAGUUCGGAGCUCACAACACUAAACCCCUUUCUAGGCCCAUAAAGUGAACAUCUUUCUUAUAGAAAUGAGGUAACUUCACACUGCUGACUCAACCCUUUACUUGCUUGUUCGAACGAAAGCCAUUGUUCUUGUUCUUUCUUAAUUCCACUUGCUAAGCUGUGUACUGAAUACGAGUUCCAAAAGCCCGCCAGGCCAGGGAAAAAGUGUUUUUCCGUUUGUACAGUACCCUCUUAUUUGUUUACUUGUUCCGUUGCGCGUUAGCCUAAUUAGUACAAGUCAUUAGGCAAGUGCUCAUUUUUAGCGAGGGGCUCUUUCAACUCCGAGAUGGCUGCAUCAGAGAGCUCCGACAUCGUCUUUUACUGUGGUAGGCGGUUUCAAUGGUCGUUGGCCUUCUAUCUACGUGAUGCCUGACUCUCGUCCAUGCUCAUCCGUCAGAUCAUCCGAAUCUAAGAGACAGAAAGCACCAGAUAUCUCUUCCAAUACGAUUCGUCACGUGCUAUUCAAUGACCAGGCCAAGCGUAUACUAAGUGCCAGUUCCAUUCCGUUUUUAAGGAAGAAGAGAAGCUACUGUCUGCCGGGGAGUAGUAGAACCCUAGUGUUCAGCAAGUAGUCAAUUCCAUUCUAUAGUUUCCUUUCCUUUUGAAGCGCGGUCUACUUAUUACUUUCGACUUUGUACGAGCAAGUAUUGUAGGGGAGCGGAAGACAAGCGUAUACUAAACGAGAUCGUACCUAAUGCUACUUACAUUGCAUUCUGAUAUUGAAUAGUGGAAUUCUUAGGAAGGAAACUGGAGUCUCUAUUUGCUAACAGCCAAGUCGACAACACAGAAGAAAAUAAGGUAGUGAAAGGCCAAGCAACUAAGUAAGACGGCCAAGCGUAUACUAACUACUAAAAUCGAGCUGCUACUGAUGAGAAUGAAAAUGGGGAGUCAAGAAUCAAACUCCGGAUUAAGUCCUGGGCUCCAGUUGCAUUCUUAAAUGACUUACCGCAACGAAGACAUCUCUUGACUGAAGUACUUAUAGCUUCAAAGCCUCUCUUCUUGAUACAACUACUUAUGAAACUACGAAACUACUAUGGCUACAACUACUUAUGAAACUACGAAACUACUAGUUAGCAUUACUACUCUACUACAAGGAAGGUAUUCCACUCGCCAACAACAGGCUCUGCUCUGUCAACUAUUCACUUAAUUCGGCUAAUCUCACUCUGGCAACAAUGCAUUUUACCCUGUCUCCCGCACCCACCUCUCCUAUUGCUAAAAAGACAUAUGAAACAGGACUACUCGUAUACUGGUUUGGUAUUCAACUCACACCAUUUACUUCAGGGCUAGCUUCUGUACUUGAUGACUGGAACAAGACUGGAAUUGCUAUCAGCCAAGUCACGACUAGAACUAUCACUGGGCCAACAUAACUAAACUUCCUACUUAAAGAACUCUCCGGGCCAAGCAAUCACUGGGUCGGUCAGGUCAGGACUAGAAUAGCUCUCUCCUCUUGCUACUAGCUAAUAUCUAUCCUAUCCUUUGUACUCUGGACUACUCCGACUACUCUACUGGUUGGGGAUUCCACUUCACCAAAACCCGUGUUUUUUCAUAGCAUUAGCUUUUCCCCUCCUGAGGUAUCAGAUUGAUAUUACAAUUUCACGUUUUCCCGUGUUUUUUCAUAGCAAUUAGUAUAAAGUAGUUGACUCGACCUCUGCUCAGGCUACUCAUACUGAUUCCACUGGACCAGACCUAUACUUGAAGACGAAGGAAAAGGAUCAUUUCUCUAUCUUGCCUAGCACAACUUACAAUAAGGGCCUCUGCUUGAGUUUCAUUCCUUCGAUUAAGCUUAUGGCUCUUCCUUUCUUCCCUUAGUACUGGCACUGCUCCUACUGUUUGGGAAUCAUAUUUCUAUUCUUUACCUACUGAGGAUAUCCCGAUCUCGGCACCAAUACCAGAAUUCGGUUCGGCUCCUAGGCAACUGCCAAGCGUAUACUAGAUUCAGAAGAUGGGUAAUAUUAGUUCAAUUCCAACUUUCCUACUUGAGAGACUACUUAGUUCCAUUCUGACUUGCUGAAUGAGGCUCUCCACUAGGAGCUAUAAGGGCCUCUCUACUUCCUCUUUGAACUCUGGUAUUUGAUUGAACUCCUAACUCAGUAGUAAUAGAGACAAGCUAUGUAGAAAGGUAGAAAACAGAGCUAGUGUUCGUCUUUUCCAAUAGGCUAAACUCAGUAUUUAUCGCUUCCUCGCCUCUCCUCUCCUCUUUCUUUACUACUUUAGAGUCGAGGUCGGGGUUCACUCAAAGGUUUUAGGACUUGGUGCCUACUUGUUCUGUGUUUUAAGAAUUCCGUACUUAUGAACAAUAACAGGUGAUGAAACUACAUAUGAAGGGGAUUCCACUCGGGGAAGGUUUUUCGCUCGCUACCGCCCAGAAGACAGUUAAGCUCCUUAAGCUAGUGUUCGCUCUGUAAACUAGGGAUGACUUUCUCACUGCCUCCACUGCCUCUGCAAGUACAACAUCUGCCUCUGGUAAAGCACCAAACCCAUCUAUACCUGUGACUACCUGGACUACCGGGAUGGGAUGAAACAACAAAAGUAAGCCUAUCACUUCUACUACUCGGCUCGGUGUUGCCUUAGCCUUUGAACUCUCUCUUCUUGAUCACCCUGAGCGAGGUAAAGUACCAAUUACUUGAGUUUACAGCCCAAACAAGUAGGAGCCCUGGUUGACAGCCCAAACAAGUAUACGAGUAGUUUCAUCCGUAGUAGUAGCCAGAGAAGAUCCGAUUGCGUUUUCCCGUGUUUUUUCAUAGCAACCCCGAUUUCCCUCCUAACGAGGUCCAAAAGAAUCUUAUCUUUGCGGGAACUCCUGCCGCUCUAGAUUAGGACUCCGGAAUAACGAGUUAUAAUACAUUUAUUCAUUGCUAUGGUUUUGUAGUAGUUACUUGGCCCUUUCUGAAUCGCCAAAACCUUACUUUUGAACCAGAGCAGUACUAUCGUUCUUAAGACAAACACUUGAGCAGGACUUAUAGUCAUUUUCUUCCACUCACACAUGAGCAGUAAGAGAAUGGAUUGAAUCUCUCUCCCAUUGCACAACUAGGUUAGUCUCAUAUGAGUGCAAUUCCUCCUUGCUUAACUCUUAUCCCAACUCAGUUCCAUUCUUCCCUGUUUAAAGAGCUCACCAGCCUUACACCCACUAGUGGAAUUCUGAGCCUACUUAGUGUCAUUCUUACUCUGUCUGCCACUUGUCCACUCUUGAACUCCCUCUGGCAGUCUUAGCCCCUACCUUAACAACUCUAACUCUUCACCCCCGCAUUCAAAGCCUGUAACUACCUUAGCAACUGGGGUAUUUCUACUUAAGCCUGUAACUACAGCUGCAGGGAACUGAUUAGCAGUGGUUGUAGUCUUUCACUCCUUAGUUCCCGAACACAGCACUUGGGCAUAUGAGUGUCAUUCUUUAACAAGCAUCUGGGGAUCAGUGGUAUUGGUUAAGGCUUGGAAGCACUGGUUUUAGUCUGUAACUACUGAUUGUUAGGCUUACUACCCUUACUUUCAGGCUUGGACCUCCCUGGGUUCAUCCUUUCUUCAUAGCCUUCCUUCUACUUACUAGUGUCGUCAACAAAAACCUUUCUUUCUGCUUGCUUUCGAUCGAUCAACAAAUCAUUCAUUUCUCACUCCUUCCGUACUCUCCAACGGAUCUCCUACUGCCAACUGAUAUCCGGUCUGAAACUCAGUAUUCCACUAGCAACUAUCAACUACUGGCAAAGAAUGAGAAACUGGGGAUUCAACUAGAGCACCGAACUCAUCUCCACGACAAGAAGAAUGGAAUCGAUGCUAGCAAUACCCUAACUGGAAACUGGCAAUACUGACUUUAUGGACUCGAUACUAUAACUAGAGACUUUAUGGCUACAAUACCUAUGGCAACUUGAAACUAUGAACUUCAUUCCGCUAAUCUCACUCUUUCUACUAUACCUCCUGUAAACUCAUACUGAUGAAACUACUAUACUACACCUCUGGCUCAUCUAACUAUGGUAACUCUACCGACUUAAUAGUUGGGCAACUAUCCCUCUUGCUCAUCCCAUGGCCUGUGUGCGCCUUUCCCUUAUUCUUAUUAGUUUCUCAGACCAGACCGGUAACUCUGGCUAAUAGACCCCUGUGGCUCUGUCAACUAAUCCUGUUAUGGCUCUGGACUCUGGACUACCUUACCCUCCCUUAGAGAAGUCUGAUUCUUUGCAUAAUAAGAAUGGAACUGUGGUGUUUACAAGACUUUACCUCACUAACCGGGUAUAAGGCUACUGAUAAAAGGAAUUGAGCAAGUGCUUAUAAUAACUACCUUACUAUAUGAGAAUUAGAUUACUUUGUAACGAAUGAAAACUGCGCUACUAACAAGCUACUACUACUAUAAUAAUGAAAUACAACUAGAAUAAUCCAAAAAUAGCAUAGGAAUGAUUGUUGUGGGCGCUGAGUCAUAAAUCCACUAGUAAUACUGAGUACACCUACCUCUAACUGGGCUUUAACUCAAAACAGGUAAAUCUAACUGAUUGGUAUAAGCAUACAGGAUGUAGGUACGAUCUAGUGCAUAUGGAUAUAAGUUUGCUAACCCUCGCUUCAUUCCAUAUUUCAUGUUAUUAAUUGAUUAUUAAGUUCACGUAUAGAAUAUUCUCUUCUACAUUAUUAGGGAAAUGUGGUCUCAAAAAGGCGAGUGGUUUUCUAUUCCAUUGAGAACUGUUGUUUCGGGUGUGAAGUAAACAUCACUCUAGGCAUUAGAGACAGAAGCCGGGAUCCCACUAGUGUUUCUAAAGCUUUAACCCACUAGCAAGACUACACGAUAUGCGGGCUUCACCACCUGAAAUACAGGCUUAAUCACCUAUUGAAAAGACGGAAAUGGGGGCGACCAUCAGAAUGAAACCACAAACAUAGGCUUCAACUAACCCGCAACUCAGAAUGAUAUAAUAACCCUAGCAAACCCAACUAGCAACCCAGACUUAAGGACCUACCUCGCAACCCAUGCUAACAGGAAUUCACUACUGCCCUAUGAAGACGAGAACUCAAAACAAGUAAAUCAACAAGUACUUCCAAGACUGAAACCAGCAUCCAACUCUGUCUCCGUGGGAAACAACUCAAUCACCAAGUAGAGGCAAGUUGUAAUGAAAUGCUCAAGUCAGAAUACCCUUCUAAGGAUGGGAAUCCAGAUACCGAGCUCACUAUAGUAAUAAGUAAUUGACGAAUACAGAAUCCAACUAACAAGUAUCAGAGCUAAACCCGGAACUAUGACUUAGCUAUACGACCAUCAUAAUGAAACAAAGAAGCUAGCCCUCCACUCAUGUCUCUAACUCUUCCACUCCCGAUCUAACUUCCGUAUCCCAACCACAUAUAAGUGAGUCUGCCUAUCCUUUCUUUUAGCCUUAAUUACCUGCCUCUCGGCCUGUCUGUCUCUUCUCUUGGCCUGCCACUAGUUAGCUUCACCCUUAUUGCCUUGCCCUUAAGGAUUCCUCUCCUUGCUUUCAUUCUCUCUUUUCUUUCUGGAAUUCCUUAUGAUAUUAACGUAUAUUAAUACAGUAACUUAUCUAUCUAUUCGGCUUGUCUGCUUGACUCAUAGCAAUUCAUAACUGAAGUACUCUAAGGAAGGUAAAGAAAGCUCACUGACGCCGAUGUAAUAGUAGUUGAGUUCCUACUACUUUGUUGACGAAUACAGGACUUGGUCAUAACUCGGCAAAUGGAUAAUAUCUCCCCUGAUCUUUCCUCUGAUCUCGUAUACCUAACUUUAGUGAUGGGACUCAGAAUUGAACAAAGUAGUCCAUAAGUCGGAAUUACAGAAUUGAGGUAGGCUUACUUACUACUACUAACAGACUAGGUGAAUAGGUGGGCUUACUUAAAGGGGCAAGAACUAGACUUUCAUAACGGACCUCGUGGGAGUAAUCAUACUUUAACUAAGGGACCGAUCGCCAACAACUUAUUACUACCACUCACCGGCAAGCUACUACUAGACAAGUUUCACUCCUAACUAAACAAGUGGAAGAAGAAAGUACUUGCUUUGAAGCCAGUUACUUGCAGGGUUCAAUUAAUUGUAGCAAUAGGAUAGGUAGAUUAGAAAGCAGCUUGCUUGUUUUAUUCGAGUGGAAUUCUUUGCACUAAGUAAACUCCAUUCUUAAAGGAAAGAAAGAGAACUACAUAAUGAAUGAAUUGGUUGCCAUUACCAAGUCCACCAAGCUACUACUAGUUAUGGGAUAGAUCUAGCGCAAGUGAGUAAUAUAAGUAAUUCGAGUGACGUAACACUAGUUUGAAAGUAGAAGAAUAGUGGAGUUCGCUGGCGUGUCAGUGAGUUUUGGCUAGACAAGUCACUACUGAGGUGAAGAAAAGGGCUCCUGUUAUGAGCAAGUCCGUGAUUCGAAUCCAGAUUCUAAAGCGUCUUCUGAUUCUGUUGUCGGUGUAGACCUCCCACUUGCAUGAUACCCAGACCACUAUUCUCGAUACCAGAUUGGAUCGAUGCUAUAUAUAAGAAAGAAUCAAACAGUGAGGAACAGCUCCCUACCGCUACACAUUAGUAAUAGCUUGGCUCGGUUCGGUUGCCUUUGUAGUCGUGUCUUGGCGGGUAGGUUGACUGACUUAGUUGCCCGAGGAGAGGUAGGCCAGAUAAGAGAGUUAGAUGAGCUCGGGGUUAACACUUAUAAGAGAAGAGUUAGGGUCGGGGUGUCAUGUAAUAGAUAUGGGUGCCGCGUAGGAGUAUGGUUAGGGGCUGAGAAUAUCUUUUAGUACGAGUAAACGGUUUCGUAUAAUAAAGAUAGAAUGUUUUCGUAGAAUAUAAGUCAGAUAAAAAAGAAUGUUUUCGUAGAAAUAGUGGUUUCGUAUAUCGUAUAUUUUCGUAUAUCGUAUAUAAGAUAAGAAUAAAUAAGAGUUCAUUUCGAUUGGAAGGAAUGUUUUGAACACUGUGUCGGUGCUUGUAUAUUGAACACUGUGUCGGUGCUUGUAUAUAAGGGGAGUGGAAAGUGUAGUUUAGUAGGAUAGGAUUGAAGCCAAGCAGCAAUUGGGUCAGGUCAUCAAGUUUAGUUCGGGCUAGAGAGGUCGGGGCAGAGACAGAGACAUAAUAUCUUCGUUCUUUAUGCGAGUGGUUAGUCUUCAUCCCGAGUGUCAGUUGCCGGAGGAUAGGUUUAAGUGCUUGUGUGAAGCAAGUAGUAAAAGAGAGAAUUGUGUGGCUCUGAUCUCUACUAAUUAACUACUAAAUUCUAUAUUAUCUUAUUAAGGAUUACAUUUAGAAAGAAAGUAGACCGGAAAGCACUUGGUAAUGGCACCAACACACCCGAAACAAUACUGGAAGACUAAACUAAGGAUGAAACUAGGUCUUCAACAAUCAAGUAGGAAAGGUCGGUCUCCAAGAUGAGUUAUAGGCUUAGAUGGGCAGGCAAGAUAAGCUAUAAAAGGUGUUGACUAAGGUAUGCAAGGGAGGAAAUAGAAUCCUAAGUUUCAAGAGAGAGAAUCGGCAGUGCCAGUGAGAAAGUCAGGUUAAGGCGCAGUGCCAGCUCCUGUUGUCUUUGUCUAUAAGUCGGAUAAUUGCCAGUUCAAGUGACAGGUGAGUCAGUAAAGUAUCUAGUUCUAGGAUCCGCAAGCUGGGAAAGUUUCAUCAACAAGAGAAUAAGCUGGGUCUAAAGCAUAAGCCGGGGAAGUUUGUCUUGAUCCUGGUAGUCCAGAGUACAGAGCCAUAGUGGAGUGAACCCCAGUUUGUUACUUCAAAAGAGUACAGAGCCAUAGUGGAGUGAACCCCGAAACUUCUUAUAUAGGCCUUUCUACUUCUAUAAAAGAAUGGAAUGGAAUUGGAAGAAUAGAGUUGGAAAGAAUAUAAGUAAGGGCAAGCAGACAAUAAGUAGUAUCACCCAUGUGUUUAGUUAAAGAGGUAGACAGGUUGACUUACUUGGCGGGCCCUUAUAGUCAGUUGCGAGUUUAGCAGAGUCGAAGUAGGUUCGGGGACAUGCAACUACUAGAGCAAGAAACAGCUUUUAAUAUAAGUAAGGGACAAAAGAGAUAGAGAAAAUGAAUUCUUUGUUCACUCAGGUUAAGGUGGCGCAGGAGAAUUCUUAGUUGAAACAGAAGAUGGAUGCCGGGGGUUAGUGCUCGAGAGCAAGAGAAGAUGUGGUUGCUAGGGGAAGUAGUUAAGUCAGUUCAGUUCACCAAAUCACCAAAACCAGAGCCAUAAUACAUAGGCCAGCGCAUCUAUAAUCUAUAAUAUCUUACUUCUUUUGUGUCGCGGCAGGGCAGCUAUGUUCCCCUCCGCAUAAGGUAUCUUAUCUAUCCCUAGUAUAAGAAUGAGAAUGAGAAUAAAUGGGGGGCCAAGAAACUAAGUAAAUAGCGCUAAAGGGCAGCUCCUGUUAUGAGUAAGUCCUAAUUCCAUAUGUUUUCGUUCCUUUGUUCGUGUGACGCGUCAGGCGCGGGGCUUUAGGGUAGUGCUCGUCUGGUCGCAUUCCUACUUUCUUUUUGGUUUGUUUGGUGUGUCAAUGCCCUUUCUUUUGCUUGUUGAUUCUAAGAGUGUGUCAAUGCCCUUUCUUUUGCUUGUUGAUUCUAAGAAGUUCAUUCGCGUGUGCUCGUUUCGGUUAGAAGACAGACCCAUCCCUUGGGCAGCGUCUUGGGCUGGUUUGCUUGGAUAUCGGUGGAUCAAUAGUGACGGAACUCCUUAAACCUUGAUUGAUAGGCUCUUUUAGUGUUGGCGGAUUGGGUUGACGGCAGGGAUGCUACAGCUGUCUUUACCUUUAUUUCCAGGUGCAGACUCGGUUGACACUAGAGGAUAGAGGUAGACCCAUCCUAUAGAUAGAAUGUUUCCAAUUACAGAGAGUUUGUGUUCUCCCAGGAAGAAAAACAAAGUGAUAUGAAAAAAGAAAGUGAAUCAGGCAGAGAACGGCCGGUAGGUGGCUCGGCUCCUUUGGAAGGCAUUUAGUUUACUAUGAAAUAAUGAAAUAAAGAAAAGGGCUAUUCGGAGGCGAGCCUAUUGUUUCAUGAAAUAAAGAAAAGGGCUAUUCGGGGGCGAGCCUAUUGAAUCUAACAUGAAUGGGGCUUGGAGACGGCAAUAAAGAAUUUCGCAUCUUAGGAGUAAGAUCAAGGAUGUUUAAAGAAACGUCGGCUGUAAGGUCGGCUCUCGAUGAUAGCUAACGAAGACCGGGGCCCGCAAGGCAUAGUUGUUGAAUCGCACCUAUUCCUCGGUCGAUAUGAUAUCUCUUUGAGUAAACACUUCCGAUCUGUCAGUCCAUGGGGAGUUACCCUUGUGCUCAUAUGAAAUAAAUAGAUAAAUCGAGAAUAGCUUCAAAGAAUAAAGAAGAGCAUUAAAAGAAGGGAUCAAAAAAGGGACUAUAACUGGGGAAUCUCUUUCAUUCGAAUUCUAUUCUAUAUCGUGGGAGUUAGGCUGGGAUCCGGCCCGAGUUCACGGGUUCUUUUUAGAAGGCAGUGAGUGAGCAAAAGAAUAAGGCCUACUGAGAAUACCCCUCCCUAAUUCCGUUAAGAUGUUUAAGUUAGGAUAUUAGAUUAUAUAUAAGUAGGAUAUUCGAUUCUAUUAAGAUGUUUAAGUUAGGAUAUGAGAUUCAGUUAAGAUGUUUGUAAUAACUUGACGUUGUUAGCUUCUUUCCUAACAUGUAGCUUCGGCUAGGAAGUCUGUUCUACUUCUCGUCCUAAGAUGCACACUAGAUGGGGGAUUUUCGCUCUUCUGUCUGACUUGGAUUCCUGUGCUACACAAAUUCCCUCUGAACAGAAAUGGGAUCUCUGCCUUCAAUGCACGAUAGGCUUGCUAUGCGAUAUCCUUUAGGGGGCCGACUCGACUCUAGAUAGCUUUUGGAAUCAAUUGGAAUCCUUUCCUUUACGCCAAGUGGAAGAAAUCCCACCUCCACCUGUCCAUUAGUUCAAGGGCAAAGGGAUCCAAGAGAAAAUGGACAAUACCGAUUCGGAAUCAACAGUAAAGGAAUAAGUCCUGCUUGGAUAAUAGGCUUAUCCUCCCUUUUAUGGUAUGAGGAAAGAAAAGCGAAAAGUAUUCGUGUAAUCAAGGCCAGGGCGUUGGUGAAAGCCCAUUUAGACUGGACGAGGUUGAUCUCUUUCAAUGGAGCCAGCAGAAUGUCGUUUCAUCCUUAAAAACCACUUUUCGCCGACAACAUUAUGAUUGGGUAUAGCAGAGCUCCGCUUUUUUUCUUGUUGCGCGCAAGAGCUGUUAAUUCCUAAACCAUGGCCCCAUUGGGUGCCCUUUAGAGCCUUAGUGGAAUUGGAAGGCUCCUUAAAAUGGGUUGUUUGGUGUUUGCUUUGGUAGUAUGAUGUAUACGUUUUCAUAAAUGGUUUUUUCGCGCGGGUAUUCUUCGCGCGGGUAUUCAUUGAAUGAGUGCGUGUGGGUAAAGGAUGCGGCCCAUCUUGCUUGGUUGAAUGAGUGCGUGUGGGUAAAGGAUGUGGCCCAUCUUGCUUGGGAAGUAGGUGGAUCGGCCAAGGCAUAGUUUAGUGGCUGUGGAAGGAUAACCCUGCGAGUAAGCUGUGGUUAAGGGUUCUGAUUGAGCUAGAGUAGAAGGUGAGUUUUGAAGGUCUUUGAUGAUCUCCCAUUGGGGAAGGCUCGAAAGCCAUAUCAAGGUCCACCCACUUAGCAUCUCCCUCAUUGCAUCUUUUAGCAAAGGAUUCUACUGGACCGGAAGGACUGGGAUGAGACUUUACUUAUUACAUGGCGAGAAUCCGGAUCAACCAAGUAUCUACCGCCCGACCCAGGCCUUACUUAAAUAGGGAGUGGGGAAGGCCCCAAUAAGAUCAAUAAAUUAGUUAUAGCUGAACUAACUGAACCUAUUAAGGAGAUCCGUUUGAAACAAUCGCUAAAUGGGAACACCAUUCGGAUAUUUGGUUUAGCUGGCCGAUCUUAUAAACCUCGUAAUAGGUGAGCCUCCCUCUAUAAGGAAGGUUAGGUUCCUUAGGUCUUUGUACAAGCCAAUAGAUAGGUCUGUCUUUGUACAAGCCAAUAGAUGGAGUGCUGGUGCUCACGCUUCACUUACCUAGAAGAGCUUUUCCGCAAGACCUUUUCCCCAUAUAGAUGCUGAGGCCUCUUGGCGCCUAGUAUUGUGACACGCCUGACGAGCGUUGCUCUUUAUAUUCGGGCGAGCUAGCCUAUUGAAAGAAACGAAUUCAGAACUCAUCCUGCUUAUAGAUUCUCUAAGGACUCUGACUCCAAUAGAUCCUAUACUGACUCUUACUCCAUAGGGACUUUGACAACUUUAAGAAUACUUAGAGCCACUGCGAUUGAGCCUACAGACCGUCAAUAGAGGAACCUCCUUAGGGAAUUGAUCCAAACCAUAAACUAAAGCUCUUAGAAGGAAAAAGAACUACCUCAUCAAGAGCAAUAGCAUGAGAGAGACUUCCUGCCCCAAAACGAAGUAAGAAAAAAACGAUUAGAGCAUUACCCGCUCCAGCAGAUAGGACGACCUACUCCAACAUUGAAAUAGACUUGAUUUGCCAAUCACUGGAAUCCGAAUAAGGAAUAUACUAUAUACUAAAUCAACUGGUACAGCGAGUACAGCUGAACUACCCAGAUAUGCUUCUUUCUCUUUCAUCAAGCAACGGAUUUAUGGCUUUCAUGAGCGGAAGGGUGAGAGUAGAUCAGUAUUGUAUUGUACUGCAAGGGUGGUCGAAGAUCAGGAUUCCAUCCAUUCCGUUUGUUUUUGAUCCGGAUCAUUCACUCAGCUAAAGCUCUGAGCCUAAGGCGCUACGCGCUAUGAAUUGCCUUGCUUCUUUCUCUUGUAAUACUGACUUGAACCCAUGGCCAACUAUGUCAGAAUAAUCCGCAUACACAAAAUUCUUAUACCUAUCCUGGAAUUAUAUAAUCAAAUGCCCGGAAAUCCCCCAUCUCCGAAUGGCAAAAAGUGUUCAAGGCACUCGUUAGGCCUUAAAUAGAAUCUUAUAUAGACUUAGAAAGAAAAUGAUCUGUCAAAGAAAUUCCUGGGGGACACUCUUUCUUUACAAACUUCUAUCAUAGGUGCUCGAUACGAAAGAUUCCAAUUAAUCAAGAAGAUCUUCCGCUUCCGUUUCUGCGCUCCAAUAGAAAUAUUCGAUUCUGGAUAGCUCAGCUGAUCUGAUAUAGUGGUAUUCCGUUUUCUACCUUCCUGCUCCUGUUCUUGUUAAAUACCGAGUUUCAUCUAUGUUAGUUGGCGACUCGAGAGGCCAUAUGGUUUAAAGGAUUGGCUUAACCGAGACUAAAGGUGCGCUUCGCUUGCUUUAUGGUAAGGGUAGACUCAAAUAAGGGUCUGUGAUUGGCUUUACCUUUACGUCGUGGAGUACGGUCUGGAGCGGGUGGUGAGAAAGAACAAAAGCAUUAUUAUUGUUCUGUCUGCUGCUUUAGAAGUAAGCGAGGCUGGCUAUAUAGAUCAAAUGAGUAAUGAGGUAAAUAGGCUUUCCGGAAUACAAGUAAUCAAUAACAGAGAACAAGAACGCAGGAGCAUAAAGAGACUUAACUAAGCUAUAAGAUACAGCGCUGAAGACAAUCUGUUGACCACUUGGACCACACCGCGCUGAAGAAGAUAGGACAGGCCAAUCAGUUUACGCAGGAUAAGGAACUUGAGUUGUCGAUUCUUCAAGUGUAGUUACUGACUCUCUUACUUAAGUCUAGGAAAGGUUUACUUGUUAAGGUGCUCUAGCUCUCAUAAUUGUCUAGUGGGUUUUGCUUGGCGAUUAUUGACUUCGCCUUUCCUGUACCUAUACUAAAGAAUACGAGUUCAAGUUGGAGUGUUGGAGAAUACGAGUUCCAGUUUUGAUACUAUAUUCAUUCUGUAUUAUGAUGAGGUGCACGCUAGAUUCCAUUCCACAAUUCCACUAUGAAUCGAUUCAUUCGGCUUAAAGUCAAUUCCACCUCUUUUUAUGCGCUGCGCUCGACAUCCAUACAGUAGAAAGCAGGGUUACGACAUCCAUAUGUUAUAUUCAAACAGUGAGUUUUAGAAGCAAAGCCUUAAGUGAGUCAGGAAAGAGUUAGGAGUGAACAAGCUAUGCUCUGUAAUGUUAAUAUCUUAUAUCAUAUGCUAGUGAGAUGAUUUAGUGAGAUGAUUUUCCAUUCAUAUAUCAGUGCUAGAUUCCAUUCAGUAUUAGUUGAACAAGCAAUUACUGGGCUUGCGUGUUAGCGAGUGAAACACUCUCCCUACAGCUAGGUGAAUCCGCUCGACUCGAAGUAGCAAAUAGAAACAACGAUUUCGGGGCCAUAGGUGUAUGUCAGAAAUAUGUACUCUGAGGGGCUCUUUAUAGUUCUGCCUCAACUUGUUCUUAAAGGAAGAAAGCAACAACGGGUAGAUCGAAAGCCCUAGUCCAACAAGGAAACCAUGCAGUGUCAUUUACUGAACUGAAGCGUUGCUCUCUUUUGCUAAUCUCCUUUCUUUAGGAAAAUCAGAACUUAUAAGCUAUGCUAGAAAGAUUCCAUUAAUGAUUAGUUGACUCGGAAAAAGGGUAUAUUCCGGUGUCUCCUUAGCUAAAGGGAAAGCCUCAGGUAUCUCUGUUAAGCGAGUGAGAGUGAAAGCUUCAGCAGGUAAAGAAUAGUCUCAAGCAUAAGCGGUCUCAGAGGCGCAAGCAUAAACUGGAUCAGAUGAACCAUCAAUUAGUUAAUAAAGUCUAGUUUCGUUCGGGGAAACCGAAGAAAUAGAAUCACCAGUAGCAGGUCUAGGCCCCAAACCAGAAUACUCCGUGCGCGAACGAGAAUAUAGUGGAGUUGUGGAAAAUCAUCUAUUCUAUAAUAUAGGCCGAGACAAGUCACUCGACUACUUGAACUAUAGGAAAUCGGACUUAGCUGCCGGCUAUAGUUACUAAUAAAUAGAAGAAACCCAAUGUAGAGGUAGACUUAUCUACAGGUGAAAUUCGAAUAGUAGUAAGGAAGAGAAGCCUUGUUUGCGGUAGCUCAAUUACAUCGACCCUGUUGCUUGUUUCAGUAUUAUAAGUCUAGUCGCUGGGGAAUGAGAUAAGGAGAGGUACACGAUAGCCACCAAGUCAGAAUAAAAGAAAGUAGAGGAAGCCCGAGUUCAGUAAUACAGCAUUGGUUUCAGUGGUUUGAGUUUGAUAGCUAGUGGAGAUAGCCCGGUCUGGAAGGUAGUAAGCCCUGGAGCUAUAGGGAAGUAAGGCCUCGGCUCUAACGACAGAAUAAGGGCAAUGAGCUCAAGAGUCAAAAGCAGGAGUGUUGGACUAAAGAACGGGAAAAGGAUACCAACAUGGGGCUUGGGCUACUGGUGAAUAGGCUCGGCUACUAAAGUAAGUAUGCCUCUCCUGCCUUCCAUUCCGAUACCCUGGGGACACCAUAAGUUCUCUCUGAUAACAAGACUUGAGUUACAAACAAUAAGGAUAGAACUACUCACUAUAAGAUUUCAUUCAGUAUAGCAUGGGAAUGAACUACAGAAUGGAGUCUACUGGUCUCGAACGGACAUACAGAGUUCCGGGAAGGGCAGCUUCUAGGUCAACAGCUAAAGAAUAAAGGUAUUGAUAGUAAGCCAUAUAGUUUCACUACGGAAUGCAAGUAUUUAUUGGAAGAAUCCGAAUACAGGGUAAAAGCUCAAGGGUUUGGUGCUAUAGUUCAAGGUAGGGUAGUAUAGGCUUUCAAUGAGAAAUGACAAUUAUAGGUAUAGCUCGGUUAGGUUCUUUUUCAGAAUCAAAGAAGGGAAAGUCAGAUCCGAGGUCAGUAAAGGAGGGCCCUUACCUUAACUCUAACAUAGGCAUUGGUAGAGAGCUAGCUACGAGAAUCAAAGCAAGUCAAGCAAGACUAUAAGCUCGGAGGGGAAGUUUUCAACAAAGAAGCUAGGAUGUCAGGACCAAGUAAAGGCGAUGUGGGCGUUACUUCCGAUUUGGAUUCCAGAGUGCCCGAGUUUUAUAAGUAGGUAGGAUCGACUUAGAGGUGAGGGGCAGCAAUAAGGCUUGGUUUCUAGUUCCGGUAUUGCUAGCCCAGGCCCUAUUCUUAGAGUGACUAGUUAGAUUUUCUCUUUACUAGCUCAAUUCUGUAUUUGGUAGCUCGAUCCCCUACCCAGUUUUUCGAGUGGAAGACCUUUCCCUUUUGAAGUCCAAUUGGUACCAGUUCCAUUCUUAUAGUAAGUAGAUCAUCCCCUCACAGUUAAGUCUAUCAGGGUAGUAGUCAAUUCCCAAUUUCAAAUAUCAAGUCUUAGUUAGUUGCGGGCGUAGCAGUUCUGUGUGUCAAUGUGUUGGAGCUAUGCCCGGCCCAAACAUAACUUCUUCUAAUAAGAGAAUAGAUAAGUGAUUGUAUUAAUAUAAGUGAAUCGAAUACGGCAUUUAAUAAAUCAAAGAUGGAAUGAUAAGUAGCGGUACAGUUUGAGAGAAGGGAGGGGCAGCUUCCGGUGCAGGGGAAUAAGGCUUGGUUUGUUUUUGUAGUAAGUAAGGCUUUGUUAUUGUGUUCGGGGUCGUAGGCUUCUACUAAAUCAUAUAAAUGAACUUUCAAUACUAUUCUAAUCUACAGGAGUUUGUAUUUCUAUAAUAUAAUCUGGAAAGAGAAUAUGGAAUUGCUACAAAAAAGAGAGAAUGAAAGUAAGGAGAGGCAUAUUAUAAUACAGAGUCAAGUAAGCCUAUCGCGGGGAAUGGCGGACUAACUAGUGGAAUCAAGAAAAAAGUAUGGAUUUCCAGAAUUAGGGGCAACCUCGUAGGCAGGGAUCUGUAUCCGGAGUCUUAUAAUGAAGUGUUACAAGUAGUUAGAAUCAAAGGGGGGAACUACAGGAUGAAAGUCAGCGUAGUCAGAAUCAAGUGCACUAGUUAAAGAAUGCAGGUAAGGAGCGGGCUCUAUGAAGUCAAAGUCGGGAUCCAAUCCCACAGUUAAAGAAUACAGGUCAGUAGAUCAAGUUUUCAAGCCAGUAAAGCAAGGUUCAAUUUCCGUAAAAUAAGUCUUCAUGUUAAAGCAUAAGUAUUGUUAGCGGUGAUGUAGAUCUUCGAGGUACCUGUGAAGGCCUUAAAAGCACUAGGCUUGAAGCACCUUAUUAGAAGUUCAAAGCAUGAGAGAAGUACCAGCUCCAUUCUUAUUGGUAUAAUAGUGAAAGAAUAAAUGUAAGGGUAGUAAGCCUCGGGCUCAGUAGCUCAACUCCUUUUCUUAAGACGGUAGGGGCAGCUACUAGUUAAGCCUAGUUAACAUUGGGUUCAUACUGAUAGGCCGGGGAAAGGCAGAAUCUUAUAGAGUAAUAGAAGGCUUAGCAGGAGGAGGGGAAUAGACAAACAAGGGGAUUGAGGUCAAUAGCUUAAGUGGAAAAGCAAAGAGGAGCAGACUAAUAGCCAGUAAAGACAGAGUGAUAGGUACGAGCUACAGGCUCCGGAAGUGGGGAGCAAGGUUUGGUUCUAUUAGUUAAAGAGUCAAGGCGGGCAAGUAGGCAAGUAAGGUAAAGAGGUCAGUAGCGGCAGGCUAGGUUUGCAGUUACAGCUAUAGAAGCAGUAAUCGUAGUCAUGGUUCCGAGCCCCUACGCUUACGAGUAGUAGAUCCACUCUUAUUGGUAUGGGUUUCGUUCCUUAUAUCGAAUAUUUGUAUUAGCAUCCUGACUGUUGAGUUCGAGGAAGAAUAAUACACAUCACCCUAUUUGCUAUUUAGAAUCCGUAAUCUAUGAAUGAAAGAAGGGAAUGACAGACCAAUAGAAGGGCCAAGCAGACAAGUACUAAGAUCAGAAUCAAACAAGCAAGUCACAGAAUCAAACAGUGCACCAACAGACUGAAAGCAGUACCAGCAAGCCUGAACUAUUCCUUGGGUAGAUCAGAAUUGCACCAGUAAAUCCAAGACUCCAACCAGCGCAUCUAAGCCUGAAACCAUUGUAUCUAAGCCUGUUAGCAGUGCAUCUAAGCCUGAGAGUGCGGUGAAGAAAGUGAGACUGAGGCACCUAACUAUCAGAACCAGUGCAUCUAACAACCAGACUGAACCCAGGGAGUCUAAGGCUUCAACCAGUAAGGGAAAGAAUGCAACUCGUCAGUAAAGGAAUGGAAGCAGUAGCUGGGAGAUAGAGUUAGUGCGGGGCAGAAGCAGUAGCUGGGAGAUAGAGUUAGCGCGGGUCGGGGUUAACUCCAAGGUCAGAAUAGAACCAAGUAGUUUAAGACUCAAAGCAGUGCCAACGAACCUGAUAGCACUACCAUCAAGACUCAAACAAGUACCACUCAGAAUCAAACAGGGAAGUCCAAGAACCGAACCAGUGUUUAACUCGCUACCGCUUUUCUGGUUCUCAAGUCAGGGUAAGGCUAGGGAAGGAAAGAAAGAAAUCAAGGGUUUUCAUCUAGCACAUUACCCAAUUGCUAUAGGAUUCAUUCUACCCAUGUCUAUGAAGUAUGUAAACCAGUCCACCAAGUCAGUCCACCACCCUUACACUAGUAAAAGAUGGGAGCAAGGCUCUAUCCAAAAUAGGAAUGAGUUUACUUAGGUAUAGUAGCAAUACCAAGACCAGAUCAGAGGAGAUAUUCCCACUUUGCUAUCAAAAAAGAUGGGUUUCGGGCAACAAAAUCAGUCUUGUUCCGCUGCUCUAGCUCUAGGUAUUCUAGAAGGAAGUAACCGACCUGACAAGUAACGUAGCUAGUGACAAAAGCAAGAAAAGGAAUCAACUUAUAUAAUAUGUUAAUAGGAGUUGACAUCUUUAGGGUCGAAUACUGGACUUGUCUCCUCUCUUACAACUAUGAACUGCUUCCCUUGUAAACCCUUAACCUCUAAUAAGUGUUAACCUCGACCCGACCUCUGUUAUUAAUUAGUAACAAGUUCUUCUAUACCUCUAGCUAUCAUCUCGCUGGCAACUAAUCCUCUCCUCUGGCUCCACAAACACAUAGCAAGUAAGUCCGCUGGACUACUAUCGAUCAAGGCACCGGACUAAAGUAUAUGCUUGGCUCUAUGUCUUUGUAGUAGUUACUUGCCUAGUGUCUUGUCUGCUUGCCCGGGGCUUGUACCCUCGAAUAGAAGUCGCCAAUCUAGCGAUACCAGACUCUCUGAAUGCAAAUGAGAAUGAAAUCAGUGGUGAGUAAAGUAACCCCCAUAACGUCAAAAGCCAAAUGAGACCACUAAAGCGAGACGACCUAGAAGGCUAGACCUUCAAAGACCUAAUUGGGAUUGCUUGUUGAAGGACAGGAAGCUUGAGAAACACCUAUAACAAUAAUGGAAUAACACAAUAGGAAAUACAUGAAGUUAAGCCGGAGAUCCAGAUCAUUAGAAAUAGAUAAGCGGUUCGAUAGGUCUUUAUACUAUACUAUUAUCCGAUAGGUCUUUAUACUAUACUAUUAUAAGUAUGCGCGUACCUUAAAAUGUGUUCAUUUGCUUUCCAAGUGCUUAUCUCUUCGCUAUCAUCCUUAUGCUAAUGCGAAUAUCCCGUUUUCUUUCAGUUCUUCUUUCUCAAAUAUCCUGUUCUUUUCUUCCUUCUUAAAGAGAUAUGUCUCCUGCCCCAGUGUUGUUUGCAUCUCUAAUCUGACGUUAUUCUUCAGGAAAGAGUUGCCCAUUUCUUCUUUCAAUUUGACUAAGGAGAUUCAAUUGCUAACAAGCCCUUCGUUUCGUGUUUAUACUAUAUAAAAGAGCCUUAUGUUUCCAAGGCUAUCGCACCUCUAUCUUACGUCGGAGUAACGAGUUCACUUUCCAUUUCACUAACGACUGGUACAACACUAUAAGACUCUCCUCGAAAGGCAUAAACAGCUUUCCUUAAGACUUAUGGCGGCGACUGCUCUUAAAAAGGCUCCAUAAACCUUGAAUUGUCAUUUCUCAUCAAUAAAAAGAAAUGAGAUUUGUGUGUGCUCUAUGAGAUCGGUAAGAUUGGAAAGAGUGAUAUACGAGUGUCUGAUGGAUUUUUCUUAGAUCUUGUCUUGGUUCUAUUCGUUCUGGUAUUGCAAUCCUCCCUUUGAGUAAGUUACCCAGAAUAAGAAGGCGGCAAUAGAGGUGGGAAUUCACUAGUUAUUCCAGAUGCAAGCAUCUUUCCCUACUUUUCAAAAAAGCUGCUUCGUGACACCUUUCUCAUGGGCAAAAGCCUUGAUUUGCUACUCUCCUUUGCGAUAUUAUACUCUCCAUGGACUCACCCGACCCGAACUCUACUACGCCGCACUGACACCAGCACUCGAACCCUAACUUCUACUUUCUGCUUGCAGUUGAUUUUAUACUUCUUGAGCAACCAUUAAUAAGUCUGGACCAGUAGGGCCGGGAAGAGAUUGGAGUGUGCCGAUAGGAAUCUUAGAAUGGAAUGUAGCAACGGUUAAGAGCACUAGGGUAGAACUUUACUGCUUAUAAUUAUUCUCUAGCUUAGGAUCUUUAUCCUACUCGCUUCAUCAUUAAGAUAUGAUUACCUUACCAACUAGCUGCCCCCUAGCUUUAAGGCGGAAUCCGGAACUACCCUUUCUUUUCUUCCCUUGACUCUCUAUCCUCUUGCCUUGCCCCAACUCAUAUACUCAUCUGAUUGCCACAACUCAUAUACUCGGUUAAGCCUUAGCCUUUGACUCUAGAAUUCCACUUCACCAAAACACGGGAUUUUGGAUAGCCAAGUCAUUUUCCUUCUUAGCCGGGUUCACUUAUCUGAUCUUUUCACGUUUUCCCGUGUUUUUUCAUAGCAAUGUUAUUUUGCCUCCUAGAUCACCCAUUGGGAAUUCGAUUUAUGACGAAACCCGUGUUUUUUCAUAGCAAGGGUGAGACUCCUGCCGCGUAACAUUAGUAGUUACUUGGCCCCCUAAUAGAGAACCCCAAAGUCAUGCUCAUUUUAUGAAACCCCGGGAAAAAACAUAGCACUGGCAUUUUACCUACUAGAGCUCCCCAAUUGACUUCUUUUUUGACGAAACCCGGGGCCAAGCGUAUACUAACGUAGCGACCAAGCUUAGGCGUAAGACUAAGUGCGGUAGCCAGUAAAGAGUUAUUCCAAGUCAUAACCAAGUCCUGUUUUUGGGAGCGGUUCAUAGCAAAGUCAUUUCCCUUCUUAGCUAGGUCCAAAAGACGGAUUCUUUCACGAAACCCGGUAAACAGCGCUGCCGCUUUCCCGCUCGCUACCGUUUCACUCAACUCCUACCGCUUUUCAGCUCGCUGACGCUCUUUUAACUCGCUACCGUUUAGCUCAGGCUCCUACCGCACAACGUCCGAGCACAGAUACUGUAAUAACUUCGUUAUGACUUCUGACUAUUGCUGACGCACAACAUUAGCAGUUGUUUGUCCCGUUGCUUGGUCAUUAGUAGUUGCUUGGUCGAACACAUAACUAGUAAUAACUGGGGAACUCUAGCGGCCCUGCCGCGCAACAUUAGUAGUUGCUUGGCCCUAUUGUUGUUACUGCCGCACAACUACUUCCGUAGUUGCUUGGCGUCUAGUAGUUGCUUGGCAAACACAUCUUAAGGCAUAGCUCAUCAUAAAUAUACUUUAUGUUGUUUCUUAUUGUCAAAACAACUGCCGCGGAACAUUAGUAGUUCCUUGGCCCGAGUGUCUUGGCGGUCAUUAGCAGUUGUUUGUCCCGUUGCUUGGCGUCUAGUAGUUGCUUGGCCCCGCUUGUUGCUGACUUGAAAACAACACUUGAUACUUGACCUGGAGCAGAAGGAGACUCCACUGAAGUACCUUUACCGAUAAUGCCGCGCUACCAUUAAAACCCAGUACUAGAUGAUUUGAUUCCCUUAACGAAAACUCUGGCAGCAAGAUCUUGCUUGUUUCAUUUCCAUUUCACUUAUUUUCUAUCCAGUGCGCAUAUAAGAAGAUAGGAAUAUAAAUAUAAGAAGAUAGGAAUAGACGAGAGCACUUAGAGUUGGUCCCCGGGUCGGGAUAUAAAUGGAAAUAGACGAAACCUUCCUUUAAACGAUACCGCUUCUCUUGAUCAACUUGAACUUAUUGAGGGCUACUCCACUUGACUUUUGCAAUAUACAAUACUUUCUACUGCUUGAGCAACCAAGUAGGGCCUGUGUGAAGUCAACCACUCAUUGAAUCUAGAUCGCACAUUAUAGAAUCAAGUAAAAAACAUCAUUGUUGCAAAACUAUCCCCGCUCUCUCUGACAAUAGCUUAUAUCAUAGACUAGACGUAAAGCCAAUAACGGAACUCUAUGACAAGGAGUGUAAGCCUACUUAAGCGAACAAAACAUCUGACUUUAUGGACAACUUAGUGGUGACAACACAUCUGACUUUAUGGACAACUUAUAGACCAUAGUAACUCCUAACCGAGCUUAUGUUGCUUGUUUACUUGAACUUGCAAUAUAGUAGGGGAAGGGGAGCGCAUUAACUACAGGUGUUUCAACUUGGCAACGCCCCUUGCUUUCCUAUUUGACUUGAUACUUUACUAUGCUAUUUGACUUCCUGCCUUGCCUAUUUGACAUCCAGCUUGCCCACUAGCUGUGGAAUGGAACUACUCCUUUUCUUUCAAUCGAAUGCCUCAAGGCCUCUUUCUUAGCUUAGGUUAUCUCCUUGACAAAAAAAUAGACUACUACGAAGGCUGGUGAGAAUGUAAUGGAACUAUAUGGCGGAGAACUAACGAGAAAUCUUUAUCCAACAAUCACUUAAACAAAAAUCCCCGGUCAGGAAAAGCAAGCUCUAUCCAAGAGAGCAGGAACUUUGCACUCUAUUACUUAGAACUAGCAGUAACACUCGAAAGUAGGCCACUCACACUGCAACACGAGGGAAACUCACAAUGUAAAGGGAACUUCUAUAUUAAUAAAGAAUACACAGAUAGAUGGACUGAUACUAUAGAAAUAAGUGUGGAAUGGUCUUCUCAACCACUGAGAAAUCAAAACAGUAGGGUUUCACUAAGUCCCCUGCAGCACUCUUACCCGACGAUGACACAGCCCCAUGGAAAAGCUCUAUUCUUCCGCUUAAUGCUUCUGCUUGCUGACGGACUCCAAUGCGUAUCUCUUUUCUGCUAGACGGACUCCAAUGCUUAUCUUUUUGAUCUAUUGUAGGUUCAACCCCAGGUUAUGGAUCCAUGGUUACAGGCCAGCUAUCCUAUUGUCUCGUAUGGAUCGAUACUAGAAAACCCUACCAAGUGCCCGUGGAACGCAUUUAAAGGGCUAGAGCUAGAGACCGACGGGGAUCGGAUCGAGAAAACCAAUCGCGGGGAAGGCGGAAACAGCACCCAUUGAUACUCUUUCGGAAAAUGGGAAAACUGCUGGUAAGGUAAAAGGAGACUUUUAGAGGGCAAAAGGACGCACUUAUCCUAACACUUAAACAGAUGCGGUUGUAUAUCCUUUGUUUUCACUCACACCACUCUAUAUGGAUGGUGAUGAUUAGUCUCUUUGGUUAUUAGUAGAAAUAGAAGAAAAGCGCGUUAGCGAGUUCUGCCCACUACACGGUUGAAAGUAGGAGUCUAAAGUCAGCGGACCUACCCUACUGAACUUGAAAGUUGCAAAGCCAAGAAAACGAUCACUUUGAUACUUCACUCAAUAGGUACAGCCAAGAGAACCAGAACAAAAUAAUACUUAGGUAACAAUAGGUACAGCCAAGAGAACCGGAACACCAUUAUAUACUUGCUAGCCCUAAUAUACCUGAACUGAACGGAACGAAUUUGUCUUAUUCCCUCUUGCCCCCGGACUUUGAUUAUGGCCUUCCCGCUGUAGCUCAAAGCAAACUCCGUAAGCGCACCUUUCCUAACUCACUAUAGCACCCCUAAAUGAGAACCUAAACGGAACUUCUACAGAGAGCAUUGCUUUCUUUUACCGGGGUCCAAAUUGAUUGAUGAUACCCUACUUUCGCUGUUGCUUGCGCCAAACUAAGUUAGCGCUACGGUAUAGGUUGCUUGUUCCUAAGCUUGUUUCUUAUUAAUUUCAUGCGCCUGCCUUCCUAUUCUCUUGUUUCUUAUUAAUUUCAUGCGCCUUCCUAUUCUAUCAGAGAUUAAUAAACACAGCACUUAGAGCCGGUCUAUACUACUAUUAGAGCCGGUCUACAACUAUAAGGGUUCAAAACCCAGAUACUCCACUUUCCACUAAACAGCUUUGCCUGAGAGCAGCGAGAUCCAAAACUCCUUUACCGCCACAGCUUUGCCUGAGAGCUACGAGAUCCAAAACUCGCCACUGCUUCCCUUUUGCUUUUGCUUCAAAACUCUGUUAUGGAACUUUUGCCGUUCACUUCUCUAACUCUAACGCGAAUAGUAGUGUUCGUUCUGCUGCUUGUUGAGUUCGGCGUUGCUUGCUGAAAACACGGGUGACUUGCUUGCUCCCUUGCUUCCUCACUUAUGACUGCUGGCUCUGCUCUACCAAAGUUCCGGGAAUAACAGAAUCGAGUGCGGUGUACUACUUAUGUCAUUUCUUAAAAACAGAGCAUUGCUUAUUUAAAGCUAACGUUAGCGCCCCGAUAGCUCACUAAGGCUUCCUUUCCUUACCGGGGUGUUUAAGCAACUUGACUUGAUACGUGCAUGAACUACGCAGUAAGCUUCAUUGGGCCAGUGUGAGGUAAACACCUUGCUUUAAUUAAGGGGAAUGAAAUACAAAAGAAUAAGAAGUCGCAUAAUAUAGAAUGGAGUAAACGAACUGCUUGCUUUAAGUUAGAAUAGCUAUAGGUGCUUGGCUUGUUGCAUCUUAUUAGUGUAUCUAUGCUUGUCAUUAUUGAACCUAAUUCCUUACUUCUAAAGCAACAACAGUUUGGCCAGUGCUCAGUCAACUUUCUUCUUCUGAGACUUAUUUCAAAUCAUCUAUCUAUCUAUCUUGCACAAUAUAGAAAAUGAAAUAUGGUAAACAAACGGUAUUGCUUCCUAACUCACUCUCUCUCUCUAUAAGGCACCCGCCGGAAAGUAUGUUGAAUCGAAUUGAGGCACAGCACUGUUAUCAGAGUUGAGACUAUCGCCCCUGCCUUUCAUAAUUCAGAAUGGAAUUUGGCGUUAUCCGUUUCUACUAGCGAAAGACACACACCUAUUUGAGAAUGGAAUUUGGCGUUAUCAGUAUAGAUCUCAGUAAAAGCACACUACUUACUCUCAAAGGGAUAAUGUAGGCUCAGUUACGUUGCUUGGACCACAACUCCGUUUAGGCUGGAACUUCAUCUUUCUCGUUUUAGGGUUUACAGCCAGCCCCGCCCCGAAGAAAGCUCUUGUUGUUGAAUUGAGGCACAUGGUUAUAUAAUCUAUUUGUAUUUACUGUGGAACCCUUACUUAUUACAUCAAAGGUCUGCUCGAUUGAAUGAAGAAGAGUAACCCGAUCCACCGCUGAUCUCUUGUACCAGUGUAGUGUGAUAAGCCAGGCAUCAAAGAAAAGCAACCAGCUAACGACGCCUUAACGUUUUGAUGCUUGCUAAAGCAGAGUGAUUUUCAGGUUGGAGAGUCCGGAGAACAAGCAAACAAGUGAACAAACAACGGAACAAGAAAAGAAUGAAGCCUAUCCACACAAAUAUCUGAAUUAUUAACAAUACAGCUUUUGCUUCCUUAAAGAACAAAUAGGCGCCGAACACUGGACCGGGCCUACUGCUUUCCAACCUUCUUUUGACCUUGCACGCCUUUCUCUUAUUAUAUGAAAUUGUCUUAUAUGAAAUGUUUGAUAUGAAAUUAUCGUAUUAUAUGAUCUUCUCGGACCCUUUUUGCCAAAUCGGUGUCAAUAUUCUAUAGUAUGAGGUUCAACCAUUUGCGGAGCUAGUUCUAUUCCUCUCUCCGCUGUUUCGCCUCCCGCUUGCUCUAGGAUCUCAGGCCCUAAGCUAGAGCCGGCAUGGGAUAAGCAUGUUUCCCGCACCCCAUGAGUGGUAACUUGCUCGACCCCCUGCUUCGAGAGCUGACACCUCUCAAUUCCCAGUCUACCCUUUUUCUCAACAAGAGCACCCUUAACUCCUCUUUCAGGUAACUUAAGAAGUCUUCUGUCUAGCUUCGCUAACCUUUUCUGUGUGACAACAAGAUUUCAUUAUGUAGCUUCUCUGUUCCCAGGAGCUUCGAAGUCCUCGGCUCGGGGAUGUUGCUUUUCUAAUCCCAGCUCUUGCAACCGUACUUGUACUGGGAUAUGAGAAAGGCCGUAUUUACUUUACACCACCUACAAGCUUCGGAAGGUCGAGAUUUUAGGAAGUGUCAAAGAUGUCGCCAUCUUCGGGGACAAGAACAAGCUCAAUAAAAGCUUCCUUUCGAGGUUUCUUCUGUCUUUUGUCUUUUGAAAAUACCUAUAGGUUGAAGUUCACUCUAUAUCACUAAUGAUUCUAAGGGCAUUUAUUUGCCAUCGGCUCGGAUUCUAAUGAACAAGCUCCAAUCCACAGAGAAGAGAAGGAAGAGGAGAAGAGCUGGAAUAGUUUCAUAUAUGGAAGCCGGCCUUUCUUUAAGUACUAUGCUUCUUGCUAGUAGAUUGGAAAUGCUCACACCCAACCCCGUCAUUAUUUUGUCUUUGUUCCGUGGGGUAGUAGCAGUUACUUCCCUUUGUGUGUCAGUCUUCUAUUCGUUGUCAAUUAUGGGCCUUACACUGACCCCAGGAGGUACACUUUAGGUCCUUUACUCUCAUUCUCAAGGCAAUUCCAUUCUGGUGUGCGGAAGCCUGCUUUCUGCUAAGUACUUUAAGAAACGGCCUUAGCUGCUCAUCCCAUAACCCGCUUCCCUCGACUGCCUUCAGAGAAGAGUAGGGAGAUUUCGAAGAAUUCCAUUCCAGAAAAGUGGUCAAGGUUGGAAGGAAGAACAAGGCUAACGACGUAGCAUACAUUAGGCAAGACUAUCUUAUGAGAGUCUAAUUAGCGAGGACUAGCUCUAUUUGCUUGUGAGCGUACGAAGAGCGGUUACGAAUAAGAUCGGCAUGCAUGGUGAGCUAGGAGGUAGGGCUUAUUAUUUCGCGAAGGAAGGUCUACGAUCAGUCAACUGAAUGCUCUUUGAUGAUCUUUCUCUUUGGGUUGGUUGGGGCCCACGGGACUUAAGUGACUGGUGGCAACAACACUCCGUGCAUCCUUUGGAUGUGAAAGCCCCGCAUAGAGUUAAGCGCUAAGGGAAGCGGAGAGCUAGAGGUUAAUAGGUAAUGAAAUAGAGUGAGGAAAGCAGCUUCGGUUCAGUUCGGGUGCGCUUCUCUGACCCGGGAACCUUAUUACCAAGAUUAGAUACUCACCACCUAAGCGAGCCUUGACUACGAAAGCGAAACGUUGCGGCUAUUCUUCAUAUGUCAAAAAGAAAGAAAGUGAGAAGGAUUUGUUGAUAGUUGCAUUCUGACUUUAGAGUGGAGAGCAAGCACUAGAGUGAGUUUGAUUCUUCUACUUCUUUGUUUCAUCCUAUUUGGAGAGUGUAAUAUGAAGCUGUAUCCAGAUGUAGGGUAAGAGAGCGGUGUUGUCGGUUCUGAGUCUUAAGCGGUUGGUACGACUUAAUCAUUCGGUUCCUUUCCUAAAGUUGAGUUAGAGUUAAGCGAGUGAGAGGGGCGAUCUUAUUGCAACACCGCCAAGUCACUGCCAACAUAGCCCUGUUUUAUAGGCUUGAAAUGAACGAAAACAUCACAGUAGUCGUUUGAUGGCAAAUGCCCUAUAGACUUAUCGGCUUUAGAAAUGCAUUGACGCCUAACAUCUUGACCCUAUUGCUCUGCUCGGCUCUUAACAUCUUUGGUCAUAGUCAAUUCCAUUCUUAUGUACCAAGUCCUGUGCUCGCCUCACUCGAUCGACUCAGGCGUUGGUUUGAUUCCUUUUAUAUGUACCCGCUAAGGCAACCCUGUCCGCAUUGUUUUUGAUGUUUAGGAUUGAGCUUCUGAUGUAGUCAGUAGGAACCGUUGUUAUGUUUUGAGCGGAUCCACACACACCUGAACAGACUAGUCUACGCCCAGCCAGCCCGUAAGCCUUUCCCACCCCAGGAAAGCGAGCCCAUAAUAAGAGUCAGAUACCUGCCACCCUAUCCAAAUCGAAAAAUGAACAAGAAGAACGAUAAAGUAGGUAGACCCAUAGGAAGAAACGGACAUAAAUCUUGGGUACAUCCAAGAAUGAAAGAAGAACGGAGGGCUUUCUUUGAGCUUAUAGGUCUGGGAGUUCUUAGCUAAAUUGACUAACGCUCCGACUACCGAAACUAGCUUAGGAGCUUUUAAGCGGAAAUGAAAUGAAUCUAUCUCUUCCUACGUAAUUGGAAGAAGCAUAAAGCAGAAAUGACUUUCUGAAUCGUUACUUUCCUUUCACCUAUAGAAUCUUAUUUCUCUACGGUAUAUAUACGAGUAUCAAAUCAGAUUUCUCUACGGUAUAUAUACUAGUAUACUUUGGAAGGUAUAUCUACUAGUAUACUUAUUAAGCUGGGGCGGUCUCUUUUUAGUAAGUUGAAGGCCAGGCCCUUGCUUAUGGAUAAGCCGUUGUUUUCCCUCACAAUGCUGAAACCCAUAAAGUGUGAGUGCUGAGCCCUUUGCUUUGCUGUCAAUUUGACUCGGAAAGAAAAAGGCUUCAUUAAGUGGGGAUCUCCUCUAGUUCUGACCGUCCAGGUAUACUCUAUAGCUCUCCGCCGUAAGAACCUAAGAGCUAACUGCAGGCAGGAUAUAUUCUCAAGAAAGUCCAAUUGGGAGCCUAUCUCUUAAUCGGUAGCUUACGAGCAUAUCGACGUUCCAUCUCUGGGAGUCCAUCUUCUUUCCCGUUUGUUUAAGUUGGAGUUCCCUUCGGGAGGUGGGAAAGUUAGCUCCACCGGCCAGUCUCCUAGGGUCUAAUACUGGGAGUGACUACGGUUUCAAGGGGAGACGGCAAGUUAACAAGCAAGUUGAUUUCACCAAUACAGUGAGCUAGCUCCAUUCUUUAUUCCAGUGUGGAACUAGAACCAGCCUAUAAUCUAAAAGCAUUACCUACGAAGAUGGAUUAGGAUAGCUCAAAGACAGAUUAGCGGAAUUCCGAGUGAGUUUCUAGGCUAAGGAACGAACUUCCCGACAUUCCAUUUGAACCUUCGCAAAGACAAUGGUUGUAUAGAACGAGCUCAUAGCCCUAAUAGCAGAUUGAAACUGGAAUAGCUAGUAUGAAUCGCAAUCCCAAUGCAAUGCUUCUCUCUCUUUCCCUCUAUCAUUCCACUUCAUGUAAUAUUAUUUAGAUAACUUCAUGUAAUAUUUUUUAGAUAAGAUAUAUGGAGUAGGGAUAGAUAAGAUAUAUGGAGUAGGGACCAGUUAGCUGAAAGAGCGAGCCAAUCUUUCUUUCUUUUGAAAUCUGAAAAAAGAAAAGGAAUUUGGGAAACCAUAUGGUCUGCUGGCCUUAUCUCUACUCGAGUGUGUGAAGCAGGUUUGAAGGAUGGGAGAGAACAAUGGUAAACGGCUUUAUCCAACGGUGAACCAUCAAUCGCAAAGAUCGAGCCAUCAAAAGAAAAGAGGUGGAACAGAUCAACGAUCCUUCUAAUCCUAUUGAUCUAAGGAUGGAACAAAGCCCCGUCGUAGCUUCCUAUUAUCCGGUAAGCCGUUAAUACCCAGGUAGUUCUUAGAGGGUUGUGAGAGGGAGAAUCUGAAGGAGAUCAAGAGUCAACCAUCCUUCGCUGCAAAAACAAUACCUGCUGUGGACUUUGUGGACGUCUCAAAGCUUCCAGACCCUUGUUUUGAGGGGGAGAGACCACACAUAAAGAUAGCGCAGGACGCCUCCCUUCUAGUUCGAGGGCUUUACUACAGCAAGCAUAGCUUAAUCGGUCACCUUCAUCUUUCUAAGAUCCCCAUUCUUCAUCUUUCUAAGAUCCCCAUUCUUAGGGUAAGGAAGAUGGCAAAGCAGCUGUGGAAACCAAGCGAAAAUCAAAAGCGAACCUAGCUUUGUAAGGGUGAAUUUCGGAUUGAUAACAAGUUCUUCCUCAGAUUCAAGGAAAAGAGAGAAAGGCUAACGAACGUGGAUGUGUAAAAGCCUAAAGGGCGGAAGCAGCAAGUAGCUGGGGAAUGGCCAGAUUCCUCUCUGCCCUCUGCUCGGCAACGCAAUUCCCAUGCUCUAACGAGCACCAGCACCCCUCUUUCAAACUCACCUCACUCUCACUCUAGCUCAUUUCCUUCCGGCGUGACAUGGAUGAUCCGCCGACCGAAUCCAUUGCUCACUUCACCACGAUCCAUUAGGUGAAACGGUUGUGCAAAGUGUGUUUUUUUCAUAUAGGCAGCGUGGUUAUAGUACUCUGAUUGUGCCAGCCAUGCAAUUCGUACUUCAUUGGCUGAAUGGCUAUACACUCUCUAAAUGGAGGCUCGAGAAGUGUUUUCUUCAUCAAAUUCCAAUCACUGAAAUGGAGUAAUAGCACGCUACUAUAGCAGAUGCUGUAAGGCUCGCUCCAAUUGUAAACGAAGCACGUAGAAAACGAACUGCGCCAACGCCGGAGAACCAACACAGUUUCUAGAUAAUAUUAGCUUUGGAUCAAUUUGAGACAGCAACCUAGUGUUGUUUAGGAAAGCCUUUUGCACCUCAAAAGAAGUCAAAGAGAGAAUGCCUCACCUAAGUUAGGAUCUAUGUAGGAGGAGGGCGCCUACAGUAAAGGGAUAUGUGGUUACUACCACAACUUUAAUGCGGAAAGGCCUUAGUCUUCGGUCAUAACUUUCGCAUUGGUCAUCCAAUAAAAUCCCUGCCGAAACAGCACCGUCUUUCUUUUUUUAUCCAAUCCCAGCAAAGCUACAACUCGAGAACUUUUCAUUCCCACUUUAGUGUCCUACCAACUACCUAUGGCCUAUUUUUGUUCCACUCUGCUUUACACUCCAAGGGUUCUUUUGGAUCAUAAGCCUAAAAGUUCCAUUCAUGGCCUGGUUUCAGAUUGAAGAGAAUCAUAAGUCAUUAAUUGGAUUAUUCAUAUACGGCUGCCCCUUUCAAGUUAUCCUUAUCUACUGAGGUAUCUGCCCUACACACAUUGGUUGAAGGACGUUCCUUCUUGUUCUCUAUAUCAAAUGAUGGAUCAUUUUGGACUUGUGCGGUUAUUCUGCCUCAACCGACUGGACCACUUUUCUCUCUUGGAUUUGAUAAGAAAGAAGGAAAAACUAACCAUCAAGCAUGCGGGUACAAAGUUGGAUCAAAUGCGGAUUCCUCCACUGUUUCCUUUGCUUGAAAUCUAGCUUCGAUCAGAGUUUGCCUUUGCUGCUGCGGCGUCUUCCUUGGGAUACCCACACCACCUAUGUAGAAUAGAGUUCCUGGAAACGUUCCUUUAAGUAUAAGUGUUUUAAAGACCCGGGCAGAUGCUUACGAGGAGCUAAAGACAUAGCCGGUGGAUAUAGUAAUUCUAAGUCAAGUCAGAUGCUUACGAGGAGCUAAAGACAUAGAUAGCGAGUAUAUCCACAAAUUCCUCAGUCUUUCGCUCUCCAACCGCACACUGGGAUUUGGAAAGAAAACGAACAUAAAGCUCGAGCUAAUAUAAUGGUUUUAGUUGCACGUGGAUUGUAAGUUCGUGGAUUCUCCAAAAUAGAAAUAGACUAUUGCCAACGAAUGAAUUGGAAGAGGGGUACUCGCUACUUGGUUAAGUAAAGUCGCCUAUCCAUUUGUUUAUAGCAACCCCUGCCCGGGACGCAGUAUCACUAUUCUAGGCUACAUCCUAUAACGAAUAAGCUGACUAUUUCCAUCUUUCUUACGAAUAUAAGGGAGCUCGGGAUAGCACAACAAACCGAACCAAGACCUUCUCUGACUGACGGGUACUAUACUCAUCCACACUUUUUCCAUCAUCCGAUCUAGAUGAAGAGAGGUGUCGUUUACCAGUGGCGCAACAUACUAAUAGUCAGAAAGUCGCCAGGAGCCGUAGCUCAAUAGCUCUAUUUAAUAGAAUCCGUUUUCUCAAAACAAAAAGGGCUACUAUACUAGCAUGAGUCAGAAAAGAAGCACAUCGUACGAGCAAGAACCCCGCCUAUAAAUAAAGGUGGUAAGAAUCGUCGCUCCAGUGCCUGGUAUGAUAAAGGUAUAGCAUAUCGAUAUGACCUGUACCCAUUCGAUUUUCGCUUUUCUUCGAAAAAGAUUGUAUGUGCACUACUUCAUGGGUAGAUACUCAAAUACAAGCAAGGGACUAUUUACUUGGUUUUACUUACACUAACUCUCAUGCUAUAAAUGUAUCCAAAAGCCGCAGCUAGUCAAUCAUUCUUGUUUCACGAUCCGCAAAUUCCUCAAUACAAAGGCGUGACUCACCAAACUCCGAAAUAAGUCAAACUAAGUCGGGCAUGCAGAUCCCUUUUGCUACGAUGAACAUUAGUAAAGUUCCUAUUUAUGUGCCUUUAUCACCAAUUCUUAUUCACAAAUAAUGGAUCAAUAGACUUCUUUUCCGUACACUUCGUAGUCUACUCACCAACUCUUUGCCUUUGAUCUGGGACCCUUGAGUGACAUGAUUCUUAGUAGUCUAUGAUUAUUACAGUAGGUACUCUCUAACUAUUACCCAGACCGAGAUAGAGAUGGACGAAGGAUCUCCUAUUAUGCUAAUAGAGCAAUAAACCCCCGGGUACAAGAAUACUAAGCAGACUUUCACUCCGCCUUUCUAGUAGCAAUUAGUAGCAAUUCAGACAACAAACUUCCUCUUAUUAUUUCGCAAAUGCCGCUGAUGCGUAAUACAUUGAGUUGGACAGCUUUCCUUGAGCAGAUAGGACAGAGCGCCAUCAACAGACGCGAAGAAAGCACCUAACUGGGGUUGAACUGAACAGCCUCGAUCCUCAUCUCCUCACAGAAAUACCUUGCCUAGCUCUACUUUAUUAUAGCAGGAACCCAGAGUAAGCCUUUCUCUCGUGGCUUUCGCACGUUGAUCUUUCUAUACGAGCGCUAAAAGGAAAAAGGGAAGCAGUGUGCAUAAGUGAAAGAGUGCAAUUCGUCAUCUGCAAUCGGAAAGUGACCUUCUUGUAUAGGGCGGGCAAGAACUGGUAGAGCAAGUAGUUGUCGUUUCUAAAGUCAGAGGGAAUGCUACUCCGCAGAUUCCACUCGUACACAAGGAGUAGAUGCAAUCUUUCUGUUUCAUCUGUUGCCAGAGGUAUAGCUUAUAGGUAUGGGAGAGUCUAUAUAUCCAACUUGUGCUUACGCGAGCGGAACGGGGCGCUACCACUAAUUGUAGUUGCUGUGCUGGUUGACUUAUUUCUUUAGUGGCUGUAGUUGCUGGUUGACUUAUUUCUUUAGUGGCUUUUAGGCUUGGUUGGUUUCCUCGGGGCUAACGGAGCUCCCUGUGCUCGAAAGAUUAUUGUCCCGUCCUGUUUGCCCUAUAUAGUAUCUCCGCUCGAAAGUCAGAGUAUAAAGAAUUUCAGACAGAAUACUUAGUAGGGUCAGCAGCGAGAUCAGUGAUUGGUUUGCUUUCCCGAGGAGUGGUGGCCAUUUAGAUUGAUGUUUUCCUCCAUCCUCUAUAGCAACUGAUCCUUACUCUGUCUGAUCUUGUAGACUUUCCUUGCACUAUUGAUUCUCUCGUAGACUUAACAAGCACGAGAACUCAAACUUCUAUUUAUGAAUCGACAACACCUGACCUCACUCUACUUGUUGAUUUAUCCGCGAUAGAGGUUAUUGGUGAUUUAUUGGCUUGACGUCUAUGAUAGAGGUGAUUGAUUGUAUCGGUGCUGUAGCUCCUUGUAAUGGGGGAGGCUCUUUACUUGACCUUAGUUGUCGACGAUAGAGGUACUCGUGUGAAGCAUCUAUUUCCUAUGUUGUCUUUACUGAGGUACCCGUGUGAAGCAUCUAUUUCCUAUGUUGUCUUUACUUACGAGAAAGAAAUCAAGAAAGUCAUACUCAUUCAUUACCAAUCCAUAGAAUUAAUGAAUAGGAAAAUCAGAUCAAUUCCAAAUGAGGGUAUAUGUUCCUAACCAGCUCUAGUUCCUGGUAUUACACUAACUCAAUCUCCUUGCUACUGCUCGGGGGGCUGGGGCAAAAAAGAAAGACGCUAAUCCAGAGGCUUCGAACUAUUGAUUGGAAAAAAUAGGAAAGCAUAUGGGGCAAGGCCCUAAUAAGAUAGAUCAUUGCUAGAGAGGGCCAGGAAAGUGGCGAUUAGAAAGAGGUGUUUUUACCUUUGAGACUAUUUGACCGAGGGUUAUCUCCCUGGCAAGUGAAAUGGAUUCGAUUCUCCCCCAAUCAACGAGGUUUUCACGUCCCAAGCACACACAGGUUAUUUUUCUUCUAUCACGUGCACAUUUUCAAAGCAGAUGAAUUUGCUAACAAGCCAAAAGCGAAAGUAGAGGAAAGAGCAAGAGAGCAGUACUCGCAGAGAGAGAAACAAAGACCCAGAUCGCAAAGCACGUAGGAAAGUCAUAGGAGUUCAGAUGCGGUGACAGCAAGAGCCUUAUUGCCCCGCCCCUUACUAACGCCUAGUUUCUUUUCUUUCGUCCUGACCUUUGACUUUGCAUGCUAGGCUUGGCCCGACUCCUUAAUAUAGGGGAGUUGACUUACUUUGUGGGGUAGGCUUUUUGACUGACUUGUUAUGUGUUUUUUCAGUCAUAGUUCCGAAUUCAGUUAGAAGAAGCACACCGCUCGUCACCAACUCAUUCACCUGGUCACCAACUCAUUCACCUCUAAGCCAACUCAUGAACUUAGGGUAGAAGACCGCCUUUUCUUCCAAUAGAAUAGAAAGAAGUAACACUGGAAAAGGGGUAGGAAAAAGGUAUGCUAUGUUGUUGGAUCCGUAGAGCAAGGGGCGAGGUCAACCAUCAGUGAUUUAGCAGUGCCACCUGUCACUUUAAGGGUUCUCUCAUGCACUGUUUCAGGGAGAGGACAUCCGGCAGGACAAUCAGCAAGGGGAGCGGCAAAGUCUUCGAGCAGACAGUCAUCCCUAGAUGUAAAGGUAAGGGAAAGGGAGUGGGAAAUAGAGAAACCUUUAGUGUCCAUUUGAGAAAACACUCCUAUUCUUGUUCUUGUUGACGAACAAAAGAGUGGAUUCCAAGCUGGUUUCCCUACUUAGUGGAUCUAUAGAGAGAUAGAGCACAGGGGUGUUUACUUAUGCAAGGCAAUAAAGUUCGAGGCGGUAAGCAGAGCGGGACAAUGAGUUGAAUCGUCGGGACAAUCAGUGUUGUCAUCUAAGGAAAAAAGAAAUACAAAUAACGCACCUCACAAAGUAAGCUAAGGCGCAACCAACAAGAAAAUCCAAUCAUUGAAACUCGACGUCAUGCUAAGGCGAGUUGACCUGACCGCUCGAAAGAUGGCAUUCAAGCAGGGUGAAGGGAAUUGACUGCCCCAUACUCCACUCCAACCUGCGCCUCAAUUCGAACUUCCAGUAAGCAGGUGCUUAGAUUCGUAUCAGUACCAUUAGUCUCCCCUUUCUUAGUAGCAGCAAAAGCAUCCUAAAAGUAGUCAAUUCCAUUAUGCAAUUCCUAUUACCACUUCCGCGGUAAGUGAGUGGAUUGAGGUCAUAGAGAGGGGGAGUUGCAAGCUAUGAGGUCAUAGAGAGAGGGAGUUGCAAGCUAGUUCAAGUCCAGCAGCAAUCGGGUCUGUUCUGCAAGAGAAGUUAUGCGUCAGGAGAGGUGGGCAAGAAAGAGCACUGGGUUAGACAGAUUCAAUAAGAUAGUUGCCACUAGUAUACGAGGUUGACGAGAUAGAGUGCAAUUCCUACUUGCUGGUCGGUCCAGCUUCCUCACCUGUACUUUCUUAUGUAUCAAUUCUAUCUUUAUUAUGUAGCAAUUCUAUCUCAAGCUUCUGUAUUAAAUGCUUCUGUAUCAAAGCCGGUGCAGUACCAUAUUCUUCCUCAGACAGGCUAGGGACCCUGACUUACUAGGCGAGGCACCCGGAGACUUGAAACCCGAAGUCAGUGAAUUCCUUAGCAACCUGACCUAUGACUUUCAAUCUGCAUGUUAGAUCUGAGGCAAAAGCUAUAUCCUGUCCGAAGCCACUAGGGAGACUUAUCUUCUACAGGAACAGGCCUAGUAGCUGGGAGGAAGUAAACAGAUAUUAGAUAGGGAAGGGCAGAGUUAAGUACCGUGGCAGAGUAAAGUACAGGCGAGUCAAGAAGAAUCAGCUGGGUAUUGCGACUUUAGAGGGAAAAGAGAUUGGUUCGGUGCUAUAGUUCUGUCAACGAGAUCAUCAGCAGCUGUGAGAGUUGAAUACCGAGUGAACCUUUGGAAUUGAAGAAUCUCAUAUAGAAUAGAAGCAGUGUGAGUCAAAGUCUAGGGGCGGGUGCGUGUGUUUCAUCUUUGUUUGUUGGCGAAAGUGCCCUGUCCGUAUUUUAAGGCUUGAAGACCAGAGUUUCAUUCUGACUUUAGUAGAAGAAAUGAGUCAACUCUCUUCCACCGCUCCUGCAACUAAGUGUUUCUCCCUUGUAUUUCAUUCCAUAGUAAGAGCUUCGGCCUUUCCCUUUGAAGUAAUAUUCCUCUCUUAUAUACUUUAGCUCUAAAGAUUCCGAUUCCAUUAACCAAGAGUUCUGAACCAGGGAAUUCGAGAAUAGAUCCCCGGCAUAUGAGCCUGUUACUACUGUCUCUCUGCUCGACACCCUUGAUAUCAAACUAGCGCUACUGACUUGAAGUCUUUUACUACCUUUUAUCACUCUCCAGCUAAUGCUUCUCAUACUUUCACUGCUGAGCCCCAAGCUGCCCUCUUGACACAACAAUUAUGUAUUUAUAGCUUUAGUAUGCCUCUACUUGCUUGAAAGCCGAUACCAAUACCGAGAAGACCGUUCCUCAUAACCGGGAAUUCGACUCGAAACUGAGCAAUUGCACUCGGGAAUCUCACUUCAACUAUCAACUCUGGGAAUAGAGAAUACGGGUAUGAUACAACGCAUACAGCUAUGAAUAAGGUGCUGAAAGCCUACUAACAAUAAGAGUGGAACCAAUGCCAAUAGGAACUAAUAAUAGGAAUAACCCUAAGUAGUAAGGCUCAGUGAACUCAACUAGCAAGAGCAAGACCGAAACCCACUGACAGCAAGACGGACUCUUGACUUUAUAGAGCCCGCUCCUCGGUUAAAGUAGUCUAAACUCCAUUCUAUUGGCCUGUAACUACUGUAUCUAAUUCUUCAUCUACUGAAACAAAACCUUACUCACUAGCUUUAUCCUUACCCUCGUGCCCAGCGACUCCUUUAUCUCACCCUGUUGCGCCUUCCUUUCAUUUUCCUACCAGUACUUAUUUGGGUCUACCGCCAGUACUUAUUUGGGUCUACCGUUCCUGUCCUCAAUUCUGACUAAUACCAAUCCGAGUCUACUGACCCUGACCUUAAAGCAGUGUAUAGAAUAUCGGUUGACUCUCUUAUCUACUCGGGCAAUAAAGAGUUCUCUCCUGGGGCACUAAAGAUCCAAUUCAUUCUUUCUCAUCUGUAUGCUGGAUCAGAAUCUCAAGUAUGGAUACAGGUAAGGUCCGAUUACUCCUUUAUAUACCAGCUAGGGCUCGAAAGAAGGAUUCCAGUGCUGUUGACUCGGCAACUUACAAUAAAUACUCUGUGCUCUCACUGAUGAAACUACGAGUCCUGUGUUCGGAAACUCCAAAGUGAGAAUGAAAGGUGGAAUUGAGUCUACCCGCUCCUACCGCGCAACAAACUACUAAGCUUGGCCCAAGGAUCAAAGUCUUACAAUAGGAUCGGGCAGGAACCCAGUCCAAACGAAGAGAGCUAGGGUUUGUUUUUCAUUAAGAAUGAGAAUAUUCUUAAGAGAUCGUUCCUUACGUUUAGCAAUCAAUUAGAUCCCGACUGACAACGCUUGAAGCAUGGCUUGCCGUUUCAGGGGCUCGAUGCUUCUUUCUAUUCAUUCUUCGUAGCUUUCUUUUUCAUGUUAUUUGAUCAGGAAUGGGACUGAGAGAGCUAGCCCGGAUUCUGUCUUCAUUGACCUAGUAGCUGGACAAAGACCCAAGGACGGGGGCCAAUCAAUCUCAUCCGGAUCCCUAUUGGUGAGAAGACGGACUUUUCUCCCAUAAAGUGAUCAAGGAGCGUCAAAUAUUCUGAUACUAGGGUAAUAAGGAGCUCGCUCUUUCACUUGCAUAGUGAGGAUGCCCAUAAUCGGCUUUUGCUCUUUUCGAUUUCAAAGGAACCGCCAAGCUACGUAGUCCGGUCCGUCAAUGAAAGCCUUUAAUCCGCGGAAAGUAUAGGAUAUCUACAUACGCAGUGGAAAGUUAGAAACAUAAUAGGCAAGAUUGGAAUGCAAGAUAUUCCACUUAAGUAUCCUGACCUUCAGGUGAUCGAUCAUCGGAACGAUGACACUGAGCGAGAAAACCAAUCCUUAGGGAAACCUCGCUUUCUCUAACUAACUUAUUUCAUAACUUGGAAAGAGGUGCAGCAAUCAUUCGAAAGUUCGGAUGGAUGGAGCCAACGCCUUUCACUAAUAUACAGAAGUCACAUGGUUUCUCUACAAUGAGCAGGCAAUAACAUUUGAGAGCUAAGCCCCCACUUGUUAAGAUAUGCACGGGCCUGAAGCUGCUAAAGCGACUGCCAAUUCAAAGAAGAAAGAAGCUACACCGGCUUCUAUUAUAGAGGCCCGAACUCAGCUAGCCGUGCCCACUAUAUUAAUAAAGGUGGGGAGUUCUGCCUUUCUUUUGAUGUAGGCUUCCACACAUUGUAUAGUUCCACUCUCAUGCUUUCUUUUGAUGUAGGCUUCCACACGUUGUAUAGUUCCACUCUCAUGCUUUCUUCUCCUGAGAGUCUUCCUUGCCCUUCUUUCUUUGAGUGUAGCGUGUCGGUCUUUGCUAUUUCGGUCUCCCUCCUUUAGCCAAGAGACUCUGGCCUUCUGCUUAAAGUUCCACUCUUCUGUAUCUGGUUCAACUCAUCCAAUUUUAGAAUAGACUCUUAUGCUCUGCGAGCCUUUCAUUGAACUGGAAAAAGGAUAGGAUAGCUGGGAUUGGUCUAGUUCUUCUAUGUGCCUCUUUCUUUUUCUUUCUUUUAUCGACCCGUAACUUGGAAUCUUUCUUUUAUCGACCCGUAACUUGGAAAUGAAAGGAUUUGACGCUGCUUUGAAAAAUGGAAGCUUCUGGGCUACCUGGAACAUGGGGUUCGUUCCCUUUAAAGGUUGCCAGGCCUCUUGCACUGUUUUCUGAAACGAAAGAAGCCUCGUCCACAACAUGUUAAUAAUCAACAGGGUUUCGGGCUCGGCUCCUUUCAACAACAAGGCUGAGGUAAACAAUGAUAGGGGAGUUCAACCAUUAAGGAUAUUGUAAGCACUGAUUCACCCUCGGAGAACAAGAGCGGAACUGGCUAGAAUCCUUAUAGUUCGAUCCACAUUCCAUAGCUUCUGAUCUAGCUCCCGCACCUUUAGAAGUUGUAAAGCCACGCACUAGCUGACUUCCCCUAUUAGAUUGACCCCGCUGGCGAUCACAGAAGAUUCUUCCCUAUCAUUCCAUCGCUUCAUGCCUUCGACUGAGACCUAUCUGCUUAAUUCCCGAGUUGAACUUCACUUGGACACAGCCGACCAAAGGGGAGAGGGCAAGACUGCUUUUGCUUGAAAUGAAAGUCAAGUUUACUUUAUUGCGUACUUCUUUCCAUCCUGAGAAGGCUUUCAGCACCUUUGCUUUGGAAAGUUCCUAGAAACCAUUCUUAAUACGCUUAUUCUCUGACCGGCAUACCAUGCUACAUGAGUUCCAACCGGAUCUUUAUAACUAAGAGAAGAUUCGCUGCAAGGAGCUUAUUUACUGUUUCAUGCCCUACUGACUGAAUGGCUUUCCCUACCUCUUCCGGGCUUUAUUGCCAAAAGUGAUUAUAGCUUGAAUUGGAACCCACAACAAUCCGAAUCAAAUCCAGAUGCCAAUCCAAUGAGUUCGAGUUCCCGCAGCUGGAAGUAAAGCUAGCAGCGUAGUCGCCGACAUAGAAAGAGAAGACCUGAUCUUGGACUUGCAAGCUAUCUCGAGGGAAUCACUUGGAGCACAAGCUUUCGAGAAAGGUGAGAUACAAUCCAGAGAGUUCGAUCUCUGUAGUAAAGUCUAAGACAGUUUAUUCGGUAUCUAAGAAAACGAUUCUAGAAAGCGCUAGGCAUGCAUCUCAAGUCAUUCAAUGCUUCGCUUAAGGCAAUUUCCGUAAUAAUAGGAUGUAAGUUCCAGGUGAACCAUCUUAGACUAGCUAAUAAAGGAGAAUUUGUUCUAACACCUUUUUGAUUACGUAAAAGAAUGGAGCAAACGAACUCCUGACUCGACGCCUUGAGGUUUGGAUUGCUGCAGGUCUAAUAGUCGACGAAAGGAAAAAAGGAAAAGAGUUAUACGCGAAUUGCUACACCUUUAAGCCAAUUGAAUUAGUAAUCGAUGCUAGAAAGGCGAGAAUCCCUAGCCGGUGUUAUAGAAUUCCAUAGAGAAGAGAGACUAAGCCUGCUGUUAAUGAAUUGGACUGGACUCCUAAGAUAAUAUCCGGAACUGUUAAUGAAUUGGAUUCCUAAGAUAAUAUCCGGAACUCCAGGUUGAGUCAACAAUAAUUGUAAGUAGAGACUCUAGAUUCUAUAGACGGGCAUUCCUUUCGAUCUUGUAUCUAGAAGUUGAGGCUUGCAGCGCUCGCAAACACUAUCCCUUAGUAGAAAGCAUUGAAUGAAAGGUGGGAUGCCUUAGCUUUCAUGGAGAGGGUCGGGUCGUAGAAUCCCGGGGUUGAACUCCUACCUUAGAGUUACUGCACCGGGGGGCCUUAAAACCACCUUUUGGGGUAUUGGCGCAAUGACUGAAUUCUGCUAUUCUUUGUUACGAUAGCAGGGUUUGGUAUCCACUAGUUUCUAAGGGCCGCAUUUAGGAGUGAUUGAUCUGUUCAUCAAACUCUCAAUUGCAAAAAAGCAACAAAGUAGGAAGUCUGGUUCACAAGGUUAUACCACAGAAGGGCCCACUCAUAAGUUGCCUUUCCCCCAUUUCCAAAAGUGGUACAAGAGACAGGAUCAAAGGCUUUUCGAAAUUGGGAUUUGGUCUGUGUCAGUAGGUCUGAUGGAUGCGCCGUUUCGCGUCUAGUAGUGAUUUUGGUUGCUGAAGCCCCAGCCGAUCCUGUCGUGCCUUAAAGCUGGAAAGAAGAUGGAAAUUGAUGGUCCCCCCGGGUUAUGGAUCUGGCAAAAUAGGAAGUGCAAAAUCGCGAAACAAUGCUACAACUACAUCCUUCAUUCCUAUUGAAAGAGAAACUCAUCCAUGGAAACAGGUGAUUCAUGUUCAAGAGAGCUGCUUUGUAGGGAAAUAGACUAAUGUGACAUUGAAUCCUGUUACUUCUAUUUUCCUUCAUUGAGACCGAAACGGAGAAAUUCCAUAAAAAAGGAUGCAUUAGAAGGAGUGGUUUCUCUAUCCCCGCUAAUGCUUUCUAGUUCCCCCGGUUACCUCUACCAAAAUGGAUUCUAGCAAAGCGGUUAUUUACCCCAUUUGGAUGGAUUUGGAUGGAGAAAUACUCACUAUUGAACUGGGGCGAGCCCCUGCUACUUGUAAUCGAGGUUGAAUCUCUAUUCCCCCAAUAUGGAAAAAUGAAUAUUCUCGAAAUAUAAGAGUUUUCCUAAACUAAUUGCGUUUCUAUCUAUAUGAACGGAGGAUGAUGAAUCUAUUUCGUGGGUCCUGGCAACACCCUUAUGCUAUAUAUAGAUUCGUGGGUCCUGGCAACACCCUUAUGCUAUAUAUAGACCCUUUGUCCUAAUUUGAUCUUUAAGUCGAUUCGGAAUGAACAUAUAUUGUGGAUCGAAUGUUGCUAUCUUUACGAAAAUGUGUUAAGGUCCCUUAAAAGAAAAGGAAUAGCUGCUCAUUCAAUGAACGACGCCUAAAAUGAAUGUAUAUAUUUGAUUCCUUAGCUUGGCUCUCAUUUCAGGAACGGAGGCUGAACGGGCUGAGGCUUCCGGUGUCCAUAAGGCUAACGUAGAAUCCAAUAAUCUAAUCAUAUAUUAAUCGAUUUCAUAUAUAUCAUAUUACUUGCUAUAACUAGGAGUAUAUUCGAAGGUAAGUAACAAGGGCCAAGUAGUUAAGGCUAAAGCCAAUUUCAGAGAGGCGAGAACCCUUAAAGGUCUGUUUCAAUACUCAAGAUAGCUGGUUGUGAUUCCUUAGAAUAAGGGUAGCUAAUCACAAACAAGGUAAGAAAAAAGUGAGAAAGGCGAGCAAUAGGACGGAAACAAAAGAAAGAGGCGGCGAGCUACUCCAGAACGAGCGACCUGUAAGCUAAUAGACCGUUAGGAGGAAAACCGACCUGGUGAUAAAGAAUGGGAGCUAAGUAUUUAUUACGAACGGAUGAAAAAGGAGGUGCUGAAAGCCUGUGAAAAUCCAGAACCAAAAAAGAGUGGAGUCCCGUGCCGGAUAUUCGAUGGCUCUCUAUCGAACCUUCCUUUGUCACGAGUCAUUGACUGCUGUAACGUGCCUUGGCCAUCGAGCUACUCAAGGUAAGACUUCCAAAAAGAUGAUAAUAAGCAACAUGCUAAAUAGCAUUGUUUCUAUCGUUGGCAUGUAGUUUUGGAUAUAUAAGAUAAUGGGAAGAAAAGUGACCUACUUGAAGAUAAUGGGAAGAAAAGUGACCUACUUAUAGCCUUAUCCAUAUUACUUAGACUUUGAUGGCUGACGGUAAGCAGAGUUUUGAUUGACCAUACUAUCAUAAAGGCAAUUAGGUAAGCCUACGCCCACUCCAUCCCUAUUGUUGUGUUUUAUUCCAAUGGGAUUUGGGGCACGGAUUCAACAAGUACACCACAAAAGCAACGGCUUCGGCCCAAAAGUAGCAUGUUUAUACCUUUCAACAUACUAUGUGCCACAUGUUUAUACCUUUCAACAUACUAUGUGCCAUUUAAAGGAUUGUGCGUUUCUUUCUUUCGGCAAAACACCAGUUGAGGUUCAUAUGGUGCGGUCAAAGGACGACGAAUACCAUGCUUUUGACAAAUAGCUUCGAAGGCUUUUGUUGAUGUAAAUGCGCCUCCACCUAUUCCCUACAAAGCCGGUUCCAAUCAAACUGCAUACAGAACAAUGAUGGAAGAAAGAGAUAGGACUCGAAAGAGAGGAGAGGUAAGUAUACAGGAAGAGAUGUCCUUUUACCUCUAUUGGAUUUGCGCCUCGUUUGCUAUCAAUCUGUUCAGAUACAAAACCAAGUGGAAGCCCCAUUGCGAAAACUAUUGACGAGGCAGACGGAUAAAUGGCUCUUGCCCUAUUUUAGCUAGGACUUGCCUCAAAAUGUCUUGGCCAAAUAGUGGUCGGCUAGUGCGGGCCCAGGCAUACUUCCUGAGAUUGCUGCACGAACUCUUCACGAUCCUGCUGAAGAUGCUUACUCUUAUUCCAUAAUUACCAAGAAUUGAUAUAUAAGGAAAAGAGCUCGAUGACCUUAAUCACUCUGUUAGCGCAGAUCAAUCCUAUGAUGAAAUAAUGAGAAAUGUCUAUUCAAGGGCAAAAGCUUUUUCUCUUUAGACUACCGAUUCUAUUGAAUGAAACGGAGUCUGGGCCCGAUCAUGCUUAAACGAAUUCUUAAAGAGAAAGAGGAGGCACCUGAACAAGACUGGAAUCUUGAACAUUGAUGAUUCUGAACCGCCCUAAUAAGAAGUUGUAAACUCACCAAACUAAAGCUAAGCUAACGCCGAUGAAGGAUAGGCUUUCGCUCCCUAUGAUAGAAGCGGGUAACUCACCCAAUAAGAUAGGAGCAGGUAACUCAUAUACGUUACUUGCCUGCCGAAAACCGGAAUUGUAAUAGAAUAGGAGUCGGAGUUAUAGUUUCCAGAGGUAUGUAUAGGAGCCGAGCUUUUUGAGUAUACGCUUGGAUGGUGUUCAUGGCGGUAGGGCUGCUCUUCCACACCUCUUAUGGGAAAUUCCCUAUCUUGCAUCUGUAACCGCUGUUCUAAUGCUUUUAAGCCUAUAAUCUUUACCUUCUUUCGACACUCAACCAAGAAUCAUAUACUGUUCUUUCAAGCGCGGAGUAAAUACGGAAUUUCUUAUAGUGCGCAGAGGAAACUCAAAGAUCCAAUUAUGAACUGAUUGGUGCUCUAUAACCAAGGAAUGCUCCUACACCUAGAAACUACACUUCGAUUCAGCUUCCAUAUAGGAGAAAAGUCAAGAGAAGAGUCAAAGUAAAGAUCAAAGUAAAGAGAUGCUUCAUCACAACACCGAGAUCCUUGCUAAUUACCUGUUUGUUUUCUAGAAAAUGAAAGAAACUGCUUCCCUUUAUUUGGAAUCUGACCGGCUUGGCACUGCUUCCUCAGCUUCUUCUAUCUCUUAAGAUCUUAUAGAUUCCACCCGAACUCCACCCUCUUAUUAACCAGAUCCCGCUUAUGAUCGAGUAGACUUAUUAACUCGAACUGUAGUUGCUUGUUGGACAAUUAGUUUACCUUGAUUAUGGCGCAUAGGUGUUAUCGACCCCAACUCUACUACCCUUAACUUCACAUAAAGGUUGCCUUAUUGCCCUGAUUUUAUAGCCCAACUCAAUAAAUAAGAGCAGUAAACUCAUCUUUCGAGUAGCGGGGAACUCCUAUUAUGGCUAAUUUCCAUACCCUAUGAAACCGAGCUCCUUUACGCCUUUGCAUUCUAUUCUGCUCUUCCAUUCUCUAUUUAUCCUGCUUACCGCUGACUUUGACACAGCUACCGAUGAUUCUCUCGGAGACUACUUGAGAACAGGAACAGGCAAUUAAGAACUUGAGAGCGCAGAGUAUAUACGGAAUUGAUUAUAGUGCGCAGAGGAAACUCCAUUCUUUCAUUCUAUUCCCAAAACUCCAUUCUGAGUAUUAGUAUGCACCACAGGCGAGGGAAUCCUUAUUUAUAGUGUCAUUCUGUAUUGACUUAUUCUUAUACUUAAUACCAAUACAGUGCUAGAUCGUACCCAUAAAUCAGGACUUGUACAUAACUCGUACUAAUGGAAUUUUCCCUGCAAAGUGGUUAGUGGACUUUACUGAACACUCCUGUUACACUUGUAUAGUAUACGCUUGGUCUGUAGUAUACGCUUGGCCAGGUGCGCCUCAGACUGCAAAUGCUUCUUCGUAUGCUCAGAGGAUAGAUGGGCUGGCUCACUAUGGAAAGUGCCAACUCUCUUUACUGCUCUUCACUAAGCUUUUUGGAAAGUCAAAACCAGGAUAGGAAAAGCUUGCUCUUUUUGGAAAGUCAAAACAAGGAUGGGAUUGCUACAGCUUUCGCACUGUAUUAAAUACACUCUUUUUCCAUCUAUUUGUAGAAGGUCUCAAAGAAAGGAGAUGAAAAGACACCUCUCUAUUCUAUAGGUUUUGCACUCUAUGAUAUUCUGAAGCGAAAGAAGGAAGAAGGAAGAAAUCACCAAAUGAACUAGCGCCCCAACUGACUCAAGAACUCAUUCGUCCUUGAGAAAACCCCUUUCUUUGCUGAAGUUAUGGUUCCUUCUUCGAAGUAUUCCUGACUAAACAAGCAAAGGAAUAGCGUAAAUCAGAAGAAAAGUAUUUGAAACGGAACAAGUAACGGAACAAGCAACGGCGCUUACCAUGAGUUUGAUUAAGGAUCGAGGUGCGUUAGUGAGUCUGGAAGGAAAGAAAUCCAGAAAUGCUGUGCUUACUUACUAGCUUAUAUCAGAUGUAAACAAACGCUCUCUGCUUUUUGCACUCAAUGAAACAAGCAACGGCCUCAGGGAACUCGUAUACAAUGAAGGUACACUGCGCUUCAACGCCUGUACUCUUAUACUUAGCUUCUUUUCUUUCCCGCAACCAUUGAAAAGAGGCAAGGUGCUGAAAGCCUACUCGAAGUUUGCUUACUUUAUUUUCCCUUGCUUGUUCUGUCUCUGUCCGGCAAGUGCAACGCCUCUGUCCUUAUGAGCUACCGUUCGUACGCUGUCCUUGGCCAACAUAUGAUAGGUAGCUGUUGAGUGAUGUAGAUUCUAUAUUAUAGGAGGUGCACUAAAUGGAAUUCCUCAGGGGGCACUAUCGUCUUGCUUGUUGAGUAAGGAGUCAAGAGUUCCGGAGAUCUAUACAUAUAAUGUAAUAGUUCUGUACUAAGCGCUAAACAAAUAUGGUUGCAGUGAUAUUACUUGAUUCUAUAUAGGUAUAGCUUUGAUUCUAUAUAGGUAUAGCUCUCUUCAAUUCCAUUCUGUUCAGUCACUCUACCCAAUAAUUCCAAUUAUCGACAACACAUAUAAUCUAAUUGAAUAGAAUAUUACCCGCUAGAAUAUACUUGAAGAAUAUUACCCCGCUCCUUAGACUCUACAUUAUCUACUCAUUUCUACUCAACUUAAGAAUAUAAGUGACAUCUUUCUAAAUAGAUAUAAGUAAACUCUAUCAAAUUCAUAUAAUAAGUGGUGUAGUGCACAUAUUUGGAGAAAUAGAUAUUUUAGGCGCAGGAGAAAGUCAUGCUGUCUUUAGGAUAGGAAGGAAGGUGGACUUUUUGACCAAAACGAACUUGUGUAUUCAAUUUGGCUGCUGAAGACAAGCGAGAACCACUCUUUCUUUUCGAUGAGUCCUAGCCCUCCCACGGAGAAAGCAACCCCCUUGUACUUACUUCGCGACUUUGGCAAUCCAUCCGCUUUAACUACAUAGAAUAAGGAAAUAGUAGAGUUGGCGGCAGGAUGAGUUCCAAUAAGGAAGUUGUUUCAGAGGAAGCGCGAGCUUGGACCUUCGCCUUCUAACUUUCUCUCACAUGGGUAAAGAAAGCAAGUCGAUCCACACAGCAUCAUGCUUUUUGAAGAAAGAGUUAUAGGCAGUCCUAUUUCAAAGUCAUUGAAGGUAAAAAGAUCAUCAAUUCCUCUAAUUCAAUAGACUAAGAGGUCCGCCAUAGAUCCUUACGCCUCAAGUGAUCGUCAAGAAAAUGAUCUACAAGAAGGUCCCUUACUAAUAACCUCUGCAUCAUCACUAAUAACCUCUGCAUCAUCACUAAAUACCUCUGCAUCAUAGAAUUCGAAGAAAGAGAGAGUGAGACCAGACAUAAGUACAGAAGAGCAGUAAAUAGCAUACAGGGGCAAUAUCGGGAAAUGGCAUACUGGGUUCCCUUUCGCUAUCGCUCCUCGCAACAUAAGGAUCAAUUGUGCAGGAACUAAGGAAUGUGCCUAAAGCUCAUCUCACGGAUCAAGAUUCAAAAGCUUAAUGAAGUUGCACUCGGAUGGAUCGUUUUUAGCAUAUACCCUAAUGAACUUUACAGAGUCGUUCUAUUUUCUCUUUUCCCACCAUUGGCUUCUUUAAAAGAGCUUUGCCUUACCUAUGAUGCCAAAAGCAAAGACAAAUAUGGAAUUGACAAUCAAAAACAGAACAAUCUUACUAUUCUAUAAUUGUGGUAUAUUUCUUUCUUUAUACUAUGGUAUAGUUUCUUUCUUUAUACUAUUCUCUAAUUAGUACAUUUCUGUCUUUCUUUAAGAAUGAAUUGUACCCCAAUCUUACCUAUAAGCGGAGAAUAGGGUUUUUGCAAAGAGCUUUCUUUGUUGUGGAGAAUUGGAAUAGUCGGAAGUACCUAUUAGAAAGUCAUACUAUUUGAAUCAUUCGAGCGAGUGAGUGAAAAAACGGAUUCUUUAAAUGCAGCCUCCCAUUGCUAUCAUUCUGUUUCCGGAAGAAUACAGGCAUUACGAUAACUCUGAAAUAUUUGGCUUUGUAUUUGACCCUGCCCCCUUCUUUGUCUUUUCUCUUUCUAUAGAUCCCUAUGGAUGCUUGUAACUUGAUUCUUGGCAACGAAGGCAGCUUUGGUGCGUCCCACGAUUGAUUACUGGCGAUUGAUUACUGGGUCACCUAACUCCAAGUCAAUGAACUCUAGCUAACGAAAGGACCUACUCUUCUAAAGCGAAAAAGGGCACUCGCGGUAAUUCGCCGCUGCGUGUGUCGUGAGAUGUAUUGGGCGGACCUUGAAUUGGGUAGAAAGUCCAUUUUUCCCUUCCCGUUACGUCAAUUUACAUCGUCAUUGGCACAUUGGGUUUAACUGAUAGCUGAUAGAGCGCGUAGCCCUUCGCUGCGGAUAGUGUUUCAGUUGGCUUCAUCGACGUUGCUGCUUGCCCGAAGCUGGACUUACUCAGGUAAGGAAGGAAGGAAUAAGGGCGGGUUACGAGCGGACUAGCAUUGCAGGCCUUUAAGCAGGAGAGGGAAGGGAGUAUAGCGAUCAAAACGAGAGUAAUCCGGGCAUACCUACCGCAUCUCAUUAGUGCUUGCAAAUAUCAAUCAAAGGGCUCGUCAACAUUCCUAGGAUUGAUUGGCUGAGCUAAUAAGUAAACGGAAAGUAGAUCUGUUGUGCGAAGAGUGCAGCGAGGUAUGCACGUCUGGCAAUGUUCGGCAUUGUCCUAGGCGCGGUCACACGGCUUCAGCCCGGGGAUAAUAAUGGAAAAUGAACGAAACUUUGGACGAAAGUCAGAAAUGUACGCUACUAGACGUUAUUUCGUGCUUCUAUCGAGGCGCGGCCGUUAGGAGACCCUAUUCCUUAGUUGGUCAAUAGAACAUAGAGUGUUACUUACUCCAACAAAAAAAGAGCUGGGCUCAACAGCCUUAACAAAUUCUUCUUCUUGGGUUUCCCUAGCCUGUCAAGCAAUACUAAGACCAGAGCCAGAUAUCACGACGAAAAGUGCAAUCUCUGAUCCGACCCCUCGUCGAAAGAGUAGGUGUCAGAGGCACAAUGAACAGCAUAAGUAAAAGCCCCUAGUCGAAAGAGUAGGUGUCUCAGAGGCAUUAUGAGAACAGGCUAUGUGUGCACAAAGGAAGAAAUCCGUGUUUUUUGGUUAUUGCGUGGAAAGGGGCCAAGCUACUGCUACAAACGGCCAAGCAACGACUAGACAAGUUGGCGGAUCACUUAAUAUAGGAGAACGGAUGAAACAAGCACUCGAACACAACUUUCUGAAUCAACUUCACUUGCUAGCUCAGCUCCUGCCGCUACACAUUAGUGGUUACUUGACUGACCUGGCACCGAGGAAACUACUUUGUUUGAUUUUAAGAAACCCAGGAGUGGAAAUUGAGACUACUUUAUGGAGCAUGCCCGUAAUGUUGAAAUUCUGAAUUGUUUACAGUUGCCAUAGGUAUUGUAGCCUGAGUUGGGUCUAUCAUGGAUGUGGGUCUAUCGAAUCAAUCUAUUAGUGGUCGGGGUGCCUAUUGCCUAUAAAGGGGUGCCUAUUGCCUAUCAUGUGUUUAGUAAAGAAUGCAGGAUAAAGGUAAUAAUCUUACUUUUAGGCGCUAAGUCAAUCAGUGUCAGAGCGGAGCAGAGAGAGUAUAUAGAAUCAGAGACAAACCCUUCCUUAGAUAUAGUAGUUCCGGUGUUAUUCUUUUGUUUUCUACCUUCCCCCGCUGUUUGAUUCUAACUUGAGAGCUCAGCAAGUAGUUCAGUAUAACUCGCUGCCGCUUUGAGGCGAGGUCUAGGUCGACUUCAGAUUAGUCUCUUUCCGUUCUAGUGUAAUCUACAGUGAAAGUGGAAUCCGUUAGUCGACUAUCAGAGCUUAUUAGGUCUAAGCAUACUACUUACUUACCAGAGGAUUUCUUAUUGUUGCUCUCUCUACUCAGGAUGCUUUAUCUUUCCUUUAUUUGAAGAAGCUGGUUCCGGUUCCUUACCGAGAAAGUGAUAAUAUAAGUAGUGAGAAGAAAGUCAAGUACGAUAGAUAGAUGGAUAGUAGUGAUAAGAUAGAUAGAUAGUAGUGAUAAGGUGGAUAGAUAUUAGUGAUAAGGUGAAGCUCCAAGAACGUCUUAGUGGAUAGAUAGAUAGAUAGUUAGCAGCUUAAGGCAGCUGAAGGAUCAACUUCUAUCUCUAUCUAUUGUUUUGGUUGAGCCAUAAGUCAGGUAAGAAGUAAUGAAUUCUAUCUCUAUCUAUUGUGGAAGUAAUGAAUUCUAUCCAUAUCUCUUGUUUUGGUUGAGCCAUAAGUCAGAAGUAAUGAAUUCUAUUGCCCCAGUUAAUGAAAGUGGAAAGAGAUUCGAUUCAUAGGAAAGCUGGGAUUUGGAGUAGUAGCUCUGUUCGAUAGUGGUUCCCGCUCUUCUAAGCUCGCCGUUUGGACUCACGUUCCAGUUGUGACAUCAACAAGUGGUUUGGCAAGGGCCGCCCAACACAGACAAAGGACGCAGGGCCGCUUCCUAUAACAAUUCCUUCAAGUUAUAAACAAGUCCUUUGUUCGGCAACUAGGAAUACAGGAUGCCGUUCUGGGUGCUAUAAGACAUCUAGUAGUGGAUAUAAGAAUGGAAAUGGUAGAUAUAAUAAUGGAACUCCCACAGGUCAGUUAGCCUUAAAUAAAUGAGAGUAAAAGCCCUAAAAAGAGGAAAGAUAGGUUUCAAGCAUAGAUAAGGAAUAAGUGCCCGAGUAGUGAGAGUUGUAGUCGAGCUUUGAGAAGAGGCAAUAAGGCUUGGAAAUACCAGUUCCAAUCUUAUUGUUAGUGAUCCCUUUCCUUUCCUUUAUUGUUAUCAGUAGAGUAGUUCGGUUCUCCCGUAUGUGCUGGAUCAUACCUAAGAAUGCAAUUCGAUAUUGUAAGGUCAAGCAUGAAAAGCAUUAAGCGCCAGUUUGAAGGUAAGGAAGCGCCAGGACGAGAGAAGAUAUAGUCAGACUUAUAACUUAGAGGGCUAAGGCAACCUAUAAUACGGUAAAGUCCGCCUGAGAUCAAGUAAUGACAGACUCCCUUUUGCUUUGAGCUAAGAAAAAGUCAUGUUAGCACUCACCGUUAGCACUCAUCUAAGAAGCAAAGAAGCAGGUCCGGGAAUGGAAGCAAGGAGCCUAAAUCCUUAUAGAGGCAAUACAAACUUAGAGCAGGGAGUUUUAGGUUGAGUCAACAGAUGCAGAUUUUCUCUAAGAGUUCAAGCGGAGAUAGUCAGAUGUGAGGUCAGUAGCGCGAGGCUAAGAGAUAUGGGAAAGAGAGAUCCGGUGCUCAAGAAUGUAGGCUGGGUGACUACUCCAGUUAAUUAUGAUAGGCACUGGGUUCGUUCUCAUAGUAGUGCUUGGUGGUUUAAAGCAAGGUGCUGAAAGUCACUUAUUAGUAACAAACAGGAUGGAUGUACUAACAAACAGGAGUAGAAAUCAAUUCAUCAAUGCCCUUAAAAGAAGAAUGCAGGGUGAAAGGUAUAGGUUUGAUGAACUACUACAGGGAAUAGGGCAGGGAAUGCCUGUUCGGAGCUACUAGUAUAAGUUUGAUAUCAUAAUCAUGAAUAUAAGCUAAUAGAAUAGGGAAUCGUAAACACAGAAAGAAUCAAGUUCGUAAGUAGAUAAAGAAUAUAAGUAAGGGUAAUAAGCCUGUUUGUGGCACUAGUCAUGUUUGCAGUUAUUUUGUUCUUCAUCGCAACUAUGAUAUUGUAGUUCCACCAAGUAAAUCACUCCUAUAGUUGUAAGUUUGCAAGUAUAGAGGGGCAGGCUAACAGGUGAACAUAUGAUUUCAGAGGAGAAUUUGAUACAGGAGUUUUUUGUUUGAAUCCGGAAUGCAGCUAAACGAGUUUCAGCUUUCACUAAUACUUAAUCAGAAUGUCACUGGGGCAUAGUAAAGUAAGGAACAGGUACAGAAGCAGGUGGGCAAGAGAUAAGGCUCUUACUACAAAGCUCGAUUCUUAAAUAGCUUUCUUUGAUUCUAACCUAGUGGGCGGGUCAGUUGAGUUCCGACCAAUGUCUUUUAUUCCAACUUACUACCCUAAGUUAUAACCUAUGUCUUUUAUUCCAACUUGCCUACUCUACUCGGCACUCGAAGACUCAUUGUUUUAGAACUCUUGGGUUAAAGCCUAUAGCUGAUAAGUCAUAAUACGGAUAUGAUCCAACACACCCACUAGUCAUAAUACGGGUAUGAUCUAGCACACCGGGUAAUUCCACUCAUAAGUCACAGAACUCUAUCUAGUAGUCACAGAAGAGCAUGGGAACUCGAACCACGAACCGGUAAAUACAUAAUGGAAUUAAUGUAACAUAAGUAUAAGCCUAGAGGCAGGGCAGGCUAACAGGUGAAAUACGUAAUACAAGCAAGGGAUAACAGCCCUUUAGUUAGUAGUGGGGGAAGAGGUAAGCUAAGGGAGUAGACUUGGUCUGAUAGUUCAUUAUGAUUAGUCUUGAUUUCCAUCUUUCUUUUGCUAGCUUAGUUCUAUAGUUCAUAGUGGAUUUCCCAGUUACCCUGUUGGCAUUGGUUCCAUCCUUUGUAUUAGUAGUUCGAGUCUGUUUAUCAACAGUUUUGAGUUUCAAAGCGAGUAAAGCAAUAGAAAGGAAAGGAAGACUAAUGGAUACUAUUGAGUGAAAUGACCCUACUAUUGAGUUUCGCCCUGUGACUUAUGUGCUUGAUUAUUACUUUCGAGCUCCGUCCUUCACUGGUUCCCACGCAACCCUAUAAAGGUAUCCUUACCUGGAAGCUUUUGAACUUAUCAGUAUUACUGGACCUUCAAUCAGAAUUGAACAAGCGCUAACAAGGCUGAAGUUGAAUACCUAGAUGCGCUAGAUCUUAACCCUAAUGUCAUAUUCUUAUUUUCCGGGUUCGGUUCUUCUACUUAUGAGUUUGGUUCUAUUUCCUGAUUAAUAGACUUCUACCCUAGAGAAGGACUGACUUUCAUUACGCUGACUUGCCAUUACUAAUCGUUUUUACUUAAUGUAACUCUGCUGGACCUUUGCUUGUACUAGGACGGAAUGGAACUGGGUAGACCAAGUCUGGAUAAGCUCACACAGAGACUUAGCCCAGGGGGACUCAAUCAGUAUUUCACUAUAGAGAUGUCAUUCCGUUAUAUAAGUCCUGAGGGAUGCUGUUAGGUAAAAUUCAUAAGAAAGGUAUUUAUUGGAGUGAGAGAUGUAGUUAGGUAAAAUUCAUAAGAAAGGUAUGCUCUGUGUUAGGUUGAAAAACAUCUAUCUUGCUUGGUAGCAAACUCCACUUUGGCUUUAAGAACUCUGAAUUCUCUUCCAUUAACUUGAACUCUGAAUUCUCUUCUAUUAACUUAACUACUAAUUAGGGAGGAGAGCCAGUGUUCCGCUAUCAAUCACGUUAGCUCAUAAGUAGGGAGAGCCCAGCCCGUGUUCAGCGCUAUCAAUCACGUUAGCUCAUAAGUAGGGAGAGGAAGUAAUAUAAGUAAGGGCAAGCUAACCUUAGUUCUUUCUAUAAACCCUUUCUUUGUCUUGUGCGAAACACCUUCGGCUGGGGAAUUGAAUGUAAGUGCAAAAGGUAUCGAAUCUCACGUGCAUCAUAUCAUAUUAUAUUAUAUAGAAGAAAGUCAACCAAACCAAACCCAGCAGACUUGAUUGCAUCUACUAUACCGGAUUAUAUUAUAUAGAAGAAAGUCAACCAAACCCAGCAGACUUGAUUGCAUCUACGAAAUCUGCUCCGUAAACUCGAUCACUAGCUACACUGUAUUGCUUCAAGACUUACAACUAUCCCAGCUUUGCUUGCUCACUAGCGCUGCGUAAAGAAUUCUUACAGUAGCUUGUGGACAGCUUACAUCUUCUUACUACUUACAGUUGACUCACACAUAACUCUCGGGGAACAACGCUUACUCUCGCUAUACUCUUACUCUCGCUAUACUCUAAGAUAAGAGAUUAACCUAACAGCCCUUCUAAACUGACUUAUGGAAAAUAGAGUGCACACAUUAUAGAGAGAAAAGUCAAAAAACUGCCUACAAUCAUAUUACAGAGAGCGUGACACAUAUAGACAUUUUUCACCUAAGAGAGGAGAGCGCGACACAUAAAUCAAUAAGUCACCUAAUAUCACUGCAACAAGAACCGUAGCAGUAGAGUCACCUUCUACUUCUGGUCUUACUCUUUCAAAAGUUGGAUAAUCUACUUUAAGGGGAAUAGUAUAGAUGUGUCACUUUCCAGUCUUACGGGAAUAGAAAAGUCAUAAGUAUGCUGUCUUUGUUUUGUUACUCAUUUAUAUCAUACUUGCUUGUUUGCGCUAACGGAGCUGCCGCGUAGUGGGCAAGCACCAACCGAGCCUGAUUAUGGGUAACUCUACUACAGAAGAGAAAGUGGGUAAACUACCAAAUAUGAGAUAAGCACCCGAUUGGUUUAGUCUGAGUCUCCCUAAGAGCAUGGAGGCACCGUGAUCCCAAGAUCUAUUAUCUUAUUAAUAAAACAAGCCUUUCCCGCUCGCUCUGAGAAACCCACUCGCUCUGAGAAAACCCCGAACCCGCUCUGCACUUAGCAAAACCUGUACCUUCACCAUCUACUACAGCAAUAGGCACUCUUCACCAUCCACUACAGCAAUAGGCACUGAAGUUGAUUAUGGACUUCCCGUGUAGUGGGCAAUAGCACUCGGGACCUAAAGAAACUAGUAGCCGUCAUUCUCAUACUGGUUAUCAAUCAUUAGUGACAAUAGUCCCUUCCUUAAGAUAUAUCAUUCAAUCCUCCUUAUGAAGAUACAUCAUCAUUUAUGCCCGGACAAAACCUAGUCAUGUAUGUGCUCCUUCUUUCUCUCUCGCCAACCAACCUCACCUUAGUGCUCUUCUUUACUGGAAUUCAGAAAUCCAAUGAAAAGGAAACUACUAUUAAUAAGAAAGAAACGGGAAACAGCCAAGAGAAAUGGACCUCAAUCGUAGGCAAGGGCUACCUCUACCUUUACCUUUCCUUCGCGCAUCUAGGAAUCAGUCCCUUACUUUUCCUCAAAGCCUAUUCUCGAGAAAAUAUGUAUUAGAAAUCCCAUAUGUAUUAUAAGAUAUUGGCCUUGUCUUUAUUCUAAUGUCGCGGCAGAUUCGUGACCAGGGGGUAAGUCCGCUUUGCUGCUGAUUCUAUUACCUGGGACUUCGAAUCGUGAGAAGGAUUUUCUGCUUAGCGUUGACUAGCGUUGACCGGGGCUUACUAAUGGUAAAUAAAGUCCAACUCCUGCUUGCUUUACUCGGAAGAAAUGCUUUGCCCUUACCUGACUCAAUCAUGCUACUUGAAUGAAAGACGGGAAAAUAUCUGUCUUACGAGAUGCCCCAAUCCAAUCCAAAGAGAAAGGCUAAGAGCAAGUGCCACGAUUCUCUAAGAAUGCCAUUUAUGUCAGUUUCUUCUGGGUUUGCUUGGUAUACAGGAGUUGUUACUUUCUCUUCUACUAUAGCUAAUAUGGAAAUCUUUCACGCAGUGGGAUAUGCCCGCUUUCUAUCUUACACUAUACGAAAUGCCUAGCUGACUUGCCCAAGCCUACCCACUCCCUAUGAUUCUAUCAAUCUCGGGAGUUCCUGCCGAAAAGUAAGCCUUUUCCUCGCACCCGAACGUAACUUGAAAGAACGUCUUGAUGGCGAACACUGGACUUGUGCCUUAACCCUACUUUCUCACUUUCACUGGUUCUUCUCUUUCUUCCCAAGCUCCAUUACGUGGGCUAUCUGAACUUCCAACACAGAGAUCCCUGCCGGGGGGCUAUCUGAACUUCCAACACAGAGAUCCCUGCCUUAACUCCCUUCCCAUUUAGGAAUAGAAACUCUAGCUAGCACAACGUCUUUGAACUCCACUCUCAAGUCAUCAUGGAAUUGAAGAGAACCCCUCCCUUAUCGAAGCAUCGGCUAAGAUGUUAGGAUCAAAUGCCUAAGAAGGACUGUUUCUUAGUUUCAAUAGUGACUUUUGCCAUAAGGGGUGUGUGUGUGUUUCCCCUGCCUGAAAAUACUAACAUAAACGCUUGCUUUGACUUCGACUUCUGACUGAACUGCAUCAUAAGAAUCUAAAGUCAGGGCAAUUAGUUUAGUUACAGAGGAUGUAUUAUUAGAUUAAUUAGUUCCACAUAAAGGGAAAGCCUGGAAUAGUGCUUGUAGACAACAUUGGUAGACAACAUGGAGGGAUUUGAUUCUCUUAUUAACUUACCGCAACAUUCGAACUAUCAUUUCACUUUUGUUCUACUUUACUGGAUGAUUCAUUCUUAUCGCCAACCAACACCGAGAUAUUUAACUGCAGCAGAUAUCUAGCUUAUGCGGAUUCUCUUUCUUAUGCUUCCUCAGAACAUUGUUUCCCCUUUACUUCAAAACGAACUCAAGCUCCUUCCUUCUGCAGAUCCUUAUUCUUGACCUUAUUUCUUUCCCUAACCCUGCGAUUGUGAUCUACCAGUACCUUCCUCUAUACCUGCUUUCCAAGCUAUUCUCUUGUCAUCAACACUGUCAACUUGAAACCAGUACUCAUGGCAAAGGCAAAGGUCCAAAGUGAAAGGAGUCGUAUCCCUUUCAAAAAGCAACCGGCUAACGUAGGUAGUUAAGAGCAAGUGAUGUUUUCGAGCUCAAAGUCAUUGAGUUCCGUAUCUUUACCUUGCUUGUAAUGGAGAAUGUCCGUAUAUAUAAUACGAGGCUCAAGCAUAAGUAGGAUUAUCUGAUGGAGUUGUAUCAGAUGACAGAUCAGAAACAGUGUGAGCUCCCGAAAACGGAGAACGGACUCUUAACCUCUAGUAUAGAGCAAGCAGGUAAUAAUCACAGGGGAGUUUCUUUGGGUUGGGUGCUUGAGAAGGCACAAGUAAGGUCAGAGCAGCAAUUCCAGUUCGCGUAUAAAGAAUUGCCAGCCAGUUUUAGUUGACGACUUCAUAUUUGAAGUUCAUAAGCUGUUUCAACGGAAUGAUGCAGUAAUAGUUUUGUAUCUGAGAUCAGAAGAGAGAUAAGUAGGGGAAUGCAAUAAGUAAGGCAAAGAGUCAAGGUGGGAGUGAAGAAUGCAAGGGGCAGGUCAAAGAACGGGAGGUGAACUUGGUCUUCAAGUAAUAUAGCUCAGCCUGAAAGUGACAUCAAUCAGUCAACGAGCAUACCUUCUGUUCGGUCGUCGGUGCACACAAUCAUUCUGUGAGCUACUAUGUCUAUGUUCCCAAUCAUUCUGUGCUAUGGUACAGCAACUCCGGUCCAGCAACUACGUCUUCGCUCGUGCAUCGAAGGGACCGCACCCAUUGUAUCAUUCAUAGCCCAUAUGCACCCAUUGUAUCAUUCAUAGCAGUAGCAUCCCAUAUGUAUGUAUUGGCGAAACAGCCGUGCAACGAAGGGCCGGGCAACGAACAACGAUGGUCCACAGGCCGGUCAACAAUAAAGUGGUUUGUAGGUUCUGAAAGUGAUCAACAAUUCUUCAAGGAGGUGUUCGCACAUCAUUCGAAUUCUGUGAUCUGUCAUUCGCCGUGGAUCAUCUCAUCUCUCAUUCAUCGCAGCGCGGGGACAUCUAAUAUCAUAUGUAUUGGGAGAACCAACAUUGAUUCAACGGGCGAGACAAAGGACUUAGCAAAUAGAAUAUGAAAACACACGCAACUAUUAUAUAUCAUAUGCAAACAAGAAAACACAUGACAUGAAUUCCACUAUUACUAUUAUUAUUCCAAUAUUACUACUAUUAUUCCACUAUUACUAUUAUAAGAAUAUCAUAAGAGAAUAGAGAAGUACAACUACCAUGCAAAAACAAAACCUCAUAAGCCAGAAAGUCAGGAGCAACACAGAGACUUAGGUAAAAGAUAGUCAGAAUGCUAGUAUUGGAAGUAAGCCUAAAAGCAAGUAAGCUAAGAGGUUUGAAUGUGGCCGGUAGAGGCAUACUGAAACUAGGAUAUGGAAUGCCAGGAAUAAGUACUCGAACGAAAAGCUGCGGCUCUACUCUAUUCUUAUGCGGUUAUUGUAUUCCCCAGGUCGAUUCUAAGAAGCAAUAGGAACAGCCUUGUUUUGCUGGGGCUGUAGGUUGGUUCUUAUUGACAGCAGUAGCAGCCGUUAGGAACUAGUUGAGUUGCAUUUUCUAGUUAAGCUCAAUCCUUGUUAGCAACGGGUCUAGUCUCAUAUGCCCUAGCUCUGUUCUAAUAGUUAGUAGAUGGUUUCCCAGUCAGUAGGGUACUUGUUAAUAGCAAUAUGGGUCUUCUACUUAUUGGCAAGGAGUUUAGUAACACAAGCCAGGAGGAUAGUCAGAAUCAAAGCAAGGGAGUUAAGGCAUGAGGACGGGCGGAGUGUCCACAUACUAGAAUCCAACCUGGUAUCGAGUGACAUUAUGCUUAUUACUAGACCAAUUCUUUCCAGUAGUGAUUCCAGCCUUGUUAGACGUUCCUGAGGACCUGUAUUAGAAAAAGAAGUUCAAUCAGACUUGCGAGUUGAGUAAGCUGAGGUUAAGGCAGGGAGGGUACAUAGAGAGUGUCCACCUAAGAUAAGAGAUAGGAAAUUCAGGCUAAAAGGAAGAAGCGUUAACCUUUUUAACAGUAGUAUUAGUCUGCUUGCCACUAGUGGGAUUCUGAGUCGUAUUCGGGUUAUUCUAAUGGUGGUAUUUAGACCCCCCGUCUCGAGGUUGGUUCUAUGUUAUACUACACAUAUCCCGUAUUCUGAGUGACAUUAGAAUAAGCACUGGUUUAGCUCUUUACCUCUCUUGGUGGAUUCCUCUUCUCUUGUUUGAUUAUUUGACUUACUUAUUUAGCAACCUAUCUGCUUUGCCUUUCUUUCUUUGACUACCAACCUUGUUAUAGUGCUCGUGCUCUAAUCGAACUCUGUGGUCACCAACUCUGGCAGAACUCCUAUUCCUUGAAGCCUGCGAACCCGGGGCCCGGCUCUAAUACUAAUAGCAGUUGUAAUAGUGGUAAGAUCUAGGGAAGUAUCCGAUUGACCUCAUAAGUAAGAAGCCGACUCGUAAGUAAGAAAGGGAGUGGGACCAUUACUUAUAGAACCAAACUGGGAAUGGAGAGGAUGAAACAGGCACAUAUGAAUUUCACUAAUAAUAAACAGAAGCAACCUACCGCCCUGAGCACAGCACUUGGUAAUAACCACCAAUAACAUAUUAUGUGUUGUUUCAGAAGACUCCGCACAACAUUAGCAGUUGCUUGGCCCCUUCCUUAUCUAUUCGUUCCAGUUCGAUUCUUAUAAGCACUAGUGAAUUCCGUCUCUACGAGCAUAAAUCGCCCUACUUAUUUGUAGUUAUGGCACGAGUUCUCAAUCAAGUAAGUCUGUGGCCUAACUAAAGGUAGGUGAAAGUCUCGCUCCAUUUCAUAUCUGGCUCGGGAGGUAAAGCUACAAACUAUCAUUUCGCAAUCUUCUAUUGUAUCUCUUGAAGCUGGAAGUUAGAGAAGCAUCUGAAAGCCUGUGAUCAAGAGAAGAAGAUCAGUUUAGGGCUUUCCAUGGAAAACCACUCUUUAUUAGCCUAGCCCUAUGAGUGAACCGUAGCUCACGAACGCUGGACUAAAACGCCGGAAUUGGCUAUUUGUGACAGCUGUAAACUCUGUAAGCGCCAGCAUCCUCUUCUCAAGCAUCCUCCUAUACAUAGAUUAUUUCUUAAUAACAUGGGUAACGCCAACAACGGCUAAAGAUUCUCAAUUCGUUCUUCAAGUUAGUUCCUGAGGUUGUUUACCCUAUUCUUUUCUAUUAUGAGUCACUGCUGUAGAGUGAAGCUGUGUAGUUUAGAAGCCAAAUCCAAAGGGAAGCCUUUCUAGCGGCGAAGAGAACUCCAUAUCCAUAUAUAAGCCCUACGCUUCGGAUUGCCAACCUCGCUUGAGUGAGACUCGAAAGCCUUUGCAAGUAAUAAGUGAGAGCGAUACUUUAUCCAAGCUAAGCUUUCGGCUACAUAAAGAAGCAUGAAUGAAACGAGACAAGCUUUGCCCGACUGAUGGUGAUUGAGGUCCAUCGUCGGCAGGCGGUAUAGAUGGAAAUGGUCUUGCUUGGAAUCUUAGAGAUGAAAUGGUCUGGAAUCUUAGAGAUGGAAAUGGUCUUUGCUUGGAAUCUUAGAACGAAGAAGACAGCAAUGCUGCGCCGGGCCAAGUCGAGCAAGGAUUGAACUCUCUCUCGUGCUUUGCAUUGGAUUUGAGAAUGGGCAGAGCUUAGUGUUGUAAAACAGUUGACUUAAUGAAAAAACCUAGGGAUCAAUGAGGAUACGGGAAUGUCUUAAGCCAGUUGAGGUUUCAAUUUGUACUAUAGAAGACCGUUUUUGUUUCAAUUUGACUAUAGGAUUAUUUACGACGCAAUAGGAAGGAUGAGAGACAGACGGGUUGGUUUCUUUAGCUGAACUCGAUAGAGUGUAGUGGGCAAUAGCAAUAGGAACUCUUAUCUAAAUUCUGGAUUAUUGACUUCACUUCCCUCUGUAUUAUUGACUUAUACAUCUCAGCGCCAGGCAGGUUAAUUAAGUCUAGUAAAGGUUUACUUGUGUUAAGUGCUCGUGUGCGCCUACCUACAGUUUUGUAUGCAAUGAACCCUUCUCUCGGACAAGAACAAGCUUUUCUUUGAACUAACAAUUGAAUACUAAACAAUAGCCUCACAGCUCGUCCUUUAUCAUAGACAGACUGCAGGUACAAACUAUAGAUUGAGUCUCAAUUAGAUAAGACUUAUUCUCUCUUUCUUUCCUUCGAGAUACUCAUUCUCUAUUUAUAGUACACUAACCCCAUGAAACUUUCUAGCUCAAGGCUAGAAGCUACCAACACUUUCCAAUAAAAGAAAGAAAUAGGAAUUCGGUGGAUGGAUGACCCUAGACCUUCCAGAAGAGAAGAUCGAUAAACGAUUAAGCGCCUUAGAGACCAAUGAAAUGCGACCUAGAAGCUAAGCUUUAUUACUCAAAAGUGAUUUUCAGACCUCUUGCUUCUGCCCUCUAUCUAAGAGUACCUUUGAACCUGGAAUAAAAGGGGUGUGUGUCGCAAUGAAGGAUAUAGUUGGAAUAUAUGAAAUAAGAGUCAAGGGGCUUAUCGUAAAGGGGCUUAUCAAGAGGUAAGUAAUAGAAUAGGAGUACCAAACAGAGGAUAGUCAGAUAGUACACAGGCCCCCGAGAAAGUAGUCUAUUUUGGAAUCAUAACUACGAGACUCAAGCAUAGUGAUAGAAGAAGAAAAGUCGCAAUAAGCAUAGUAAUAGAAGAAGAAAAGUCGCAAUAAAAGAAUUCCAGAAAGGAAUGGAAGAUUUGAAGUAUUUCUUCGCUGUGAUAGUAUCAUUAGUCCUCAUUGGGGGUAGAUGUUCGGUUGAGUGUCUGAAAAUGACUACCUAUCUCACUUCCGUAAUUUGGGCUGAAGAACUAGUAGUAACCUGGGUGAAAAGGCUUGGUUUCUCUGUGAAAGGUGAAGUCUAAGUGUUGGGUCAUUACAAUUGGUAUCAAAGCGACUUUGUGGGCAACACUAUUGGGGUGAAAUGGAUAUAUAUGAGAUUACCGCGGGGUGAAAUGGAUAUAUAUGAGAUUACCUCUCCGUAGGGCACACUGAAUAGAGAUUCCUGGCCACAUGAUAAUCCUAAAGGUGAAUUAAGGGGCAUGAGUUGGCCUUGAUGACGACGUCCAAACAAUAGAGUGGAUUAGAUUGUUCUAUUUCGAGUAAUCACACCUCAGAGAAUAUUCCUUUGUAUUCCUUAGUUAUGGUCGUACUUCUACUCAGCCAUGUGGUCAUAGGGAAAUGACUCUAAGAAUUCUUAGGCUAGCAAGUGUAUUGGCUCUGAGAAAGGAGACCUUCUGACUUCUUUAUGUAAGAGUGUUGUGUUAGCAAUGUCAAACAUUUACAACCAUAGCAAGCAAUAAGAACUACAAAACCAUAGCAAGCAAUAAGAACUCAGAAUUUCCACACAUCUUUAUUACUUGUUUUCUUUAGAUGCCAUAUUAGGAGUAAGUAUUAUGCUAUCCUUUGAAGUUUCCCCACAAUUGAAAGAAGAAACUAGUAGGGGUUGACCAUAGCCAACAAUACCAGCCCUGUUAACUGCACAGAAGCCUAUCUGAAACAAAUAGAUCACCAACAGAAGCCUAUCUGAAACAAAUAGAUCACCACUACACUACUUACACCACUACACUACUUACACCACUACACUACUUUACACUACUUAUUAGUUAAUGACAUUUGAUGGAUUUCCUAUGUGUAUUAGUUAAUGACAUUUGAUGGAUUUCCUAUGUGUAUCCGAAUUCUCUGGGUGGUCCAUGCCGUCAGCUAAUCCUUGAAGAGCCGAUAGGGUACCUUGCAGAUGUGAAGAAGUCCAAUAGAGAUAGAUUGAUUGAUUAUUACUGGUGUGCUACAUGUGUUAGUUAUCAUUGUUGGGAGUAUAUUAGAUGCCCGGCGCGCUCACUACGGCGAGUAGAUUAGCUUGUUCCCGCUCAAGUACUUUACUCAAAUGGGGAUCUGCAGCGAAUGAAUUCAAUAGAACGAUUAAGAUUCGCCAUACAUACAUAAGAUUAUAUGAACGCCAUACAUACAUACAUACAUAAGAUUAUAUGAACGCUAUACAUACAUACAUAAGAUUAUAUGAACAUAGGUGAAAAAACAAGAAACAUAAGAUUAUAUGAACAUAGGUGAAAGAACAAGAAAAGGGGGUUUGGUUUCAGCCGUAAACGACGAUAAAUGGGGGCUAGUUCCAUUGCUUAUAGAAGUAGAAGAUAGGCAGCCUUUCCCUAUUAUACUAUAGAUAGAUAUAGAUAGAUAGUUAUAGAUAGAUAGUUGGAGGAAGCCUAUUAUACUAUAGAUAGAUAGUUGGAGGAAGCCAAGUUGAUACUAUUUUCUGGAUACCAUACUUUCUACUUUUUUAGCAUUACGGCCCCUUUCAUGAGCAUUUCUCUAGCUAGCAGUAGGGCCCUCGAAAUGGAAUAAAAGAAAUCGAAAUGGACUUCUAUAGAAUUCCGUAAUCCCACUCGAUAAGAAGGUAAUCCCACUCGAAACAAUAAGGUCAUCCAACUCUCUACUGUAAGUAACCUACUAUCAACUCACGCUUAACUUCAUUCCUAAACUCACUAGCGCCGCUCCACCAAUAAGCUUACUUGCGCCCGUUGGUUGCUUUAAUCAAAUAAUAUGGUAUUGGCAGCCUUACCUUUCUACUAAGCACUAAAUGGACAGAGCACUAAAGGGACAGAGGCAUAGGCACCCUUUACGACCGACAGGAAGGAACGAGUAGACCCACCAGCUUUCCUAAAUGUUGCAUAUAGUCCACAACGAAUAGAAGAUAGAUUCAUUACUUAACAACUAAUAGAUUCAUUACUUAACAACUCUUAUUUAGGCACUGAUCUCUACUUUAUGAGCUUAUUUACACUUCGCCUUUCCAGGAGCUCCUUGCCAGCUUGAUAUCUUUGCCCAAUCUUAUAGGGAGCAUGUCAUAUAUAGGGAGCAUGUCAUAGAAUUUAGUGGGUACCUUACAGCUGCCUCUACCAAAAGAAUGGAACAGCCCAAAACUACCUAUAUUAUUUACCCUCCCUCGCUAUUAAUUUACCUUCCCUCGCUAUUAAUAAGGAUUAUUGGAUUGCUCUCUUUCCUAAAAUCCAAGUAUUCGGCUCUUUAGAUUGAAUUGGAGUGUCAGUUCCUUGUGAUCUCAUUUCUGUCCUAAGAGCAUCUCGUUCUAUUCGUUCUGGCAGGAAGCAAGUCUUAACCAAAUGACAGGAGAAGACGAUGGCUUGGCUCCGGGCUAAUUGGAUUCUUAUAAGCCAGGUGUGUUGUGAAAGUCCGCAACAAAGUGUGACCUUGGCUUUCUAAGAGUAAGCAGUCGAAAGAGAUGAACAUAGGACUUGUUUAUGGCUUGUAAUAACUCCUACAGUUGCUCUCCCUUUCUUUCCUUUCUCGUAGCGUAUAAGAUCUAGUUUCUAGGCGUUUUCUUAUCUUCUUCCCGUCCCCUGCUAUUGUCUUGUUUGAAUAAAUAUCUCCUCUCCUCUCUUUCCAGCAAAUCUAUUGCUAUGGGAAUGUAAGGGGCGAAAUGCUUUUGGGAGUUUCAAAUACACAUGGAUCCUAUGAUUCCCGAAUGGGUCAACCUUUUCUUUGGAACUGCUGCUGAAUCAAUGGCCAAUGAUAAAGAGUGGGGCUUAUGUUAUAGGGGCUUUCCAUGGAAAAAGAGUGCUCAUGCCCUGAAGACUGCAGAUUCGAAUCAUUUCCCCCCUACCGCUUGGUAGAUUAGGCGUGGACAGGAAAGUGUGCAGGAUGUCAAGUAGGUAGGAGUAGUUACCCUUCACACUUGCAUUGAAGAAUCGCGCAUGUCAAAGCAUAUAGGCCAUUGCGAAGGAAAAGCGGGUCACCUCAAUUCCAAUUGUUCAAAGUGAGAAAGCCCAGAAAUCGAUCUUUGAUAUACCCCUGACUUUCUUUCUCUGCUUAUAUCAAAGCUGCUUCCCAUGGCGCGUAUUUCCUGUGGACCGGCCAUGUUUUACAGACUGCCUCAAGGCGGAAUACCCUCCUGUAACGAAUCCCGAAGGAUCAACUCUUUUCAAUUGAGAGCGAGCUGCUAAAUAGGCUACUGGCGAAUUUCUUACCUUUCUAAGCAACGUUGCUUGUCGGUUUGUCUAGUAGUAACUUGGCUAUGCAACUUCCAAUCUUAGGAAUGGUAGUUUUCAUAAAGUAGUAAACUGGGCGGAUACGCUUCCCAAUGGUUCCUUGUAUUCUUUUCCUAUUCUCCUUUCUAUGUCUAUGAGUUUCCACAAAGAAAGAUUUGUGACCUUCCCCUGAUGUUUCUGAAUUCAAUAAAACCUUAUAGUAUAUAAAACUUGAUAGUAUAAGUAUGUUCACAAUAUUGGAGGUGAUAUCAAAUAUGAUGCUAUUCCAACCCCCUGACACUUUCUUAUUCAUGUCAGCAUUGAUUAUAUAAAAUAAGUCAUUAUAUCGGCACUAGUUUCCUUAGCAAUACACAGUUUAGUUCUACAUAUCCAUCUUGAGAAAUGGAGUUAGUAUAGGAAUUUCAUUUAGUAGGCUGCUAAGCUAGUAUAAUAGCUGUUCUGCGCUUAUGAGACUCCGCCCAUUUAUUAAAGUAUUCGGCCCUAUAUUAUGGGGAUCCCUUACCCCAACCCAUAUGUCUUUCCGCAGGUCUUACAGUCAACAGGUUUGUCGGGAAAUAUACAUAACCAUAUUUUGCACCGCGCAUAUCGUGUCAUUGCUCCUCGCCUCGCCCCGCUUCCAGCGGACUCUAAUCUCACUCGGGCUACAAUACCUAUGGCUCUUCCUUGAACUCCACUCGACUUUCUGGUUACCAAUUAUAUACAAUACACUUUUCUUGGUGCAUAACUAUCUCCUUGACCUCGAACAAACAUAACUCCUAUACAGUAAGUGAACAAGCUUAGGCGCUAACAGGAAGUGUAGUUUCAGUUUCAAGAUCAGUUUCAAGAUAUGAGGAUCCGUUCUCAAGUAAUCCGCAAUCUCAGUUCGACACGACCGACAGAAUGGAAUUGAUACAAAAAACUCCACUCCGGAAAGUGCAAGAAGAAUUGAUAGCUAUCCCCAUAUAUGUCAAUUGAGUAACUAAGCUUCUUGUCCCAUCUUCCUCAUCGCCCAGCUGCUAUACCUUGAAUUGAAUACGAGAGAGGAGGUGUUAGGCUUUCACCUAGUAGUUUCGUGGAGUUCGAGAACUAAUUAAUACACACCUCUACGAUUUUAGGAUGCAAAUCUUUGUUUUGAAGUCUGCUCCGAGGUUAAAGUACUGGUUUUUUAACGGAAAUUGACAUUUAAGUACUUCUUUUUGGCAUCUACCUCGUCAAAGGGCUCAAUAACACUGGUUCAGUGUGCUUCUUUACUAAGAGCUAUACCAUGUGCUCGAAAUACAUAAUGGGAUUCCACACUUCAAGUCUUGUUCGGGGUCGGUAACACCUCUCUAGUUUGUAACUAAUCCUUUAACACUCCUGGACUUCUACUCGAUAGAGUGAUCGAAUCGGUAGCUGUGCGUGCCAUGGAUGGAAUUUCUCUAAUCGACCGCUAUUAGAUAGAUGGAUUCGCCUCGAGGUUUGUGCGAUAAGACUUGUUUGUUCUCCCUUUCACACGGAGCGCUCACUCGAAAUAUCAUAGAAUAUAGAGAUCGGAUCGUCACCAGGCGAAAGAUAGUUCCCGCACCCGUUGAAGAAGCCGUGAUUGCUUGAGGUGAAUCAGUGGAGUUGUGUAUAUAAGAUAGAGGUUUCGCUUGUAAGCCAAGCAAGUAAGUCGCCAGCUUUCGAGAUGAAUGAGACCAUUUCUUUCUCUUGUGUUACACCCAAACAAAACUCCAGUGGUAGUAGAGUCCGGGGAGUCCCACAUCGCCCGUCGCCUCGAAGUAGUGAGGGACAGAGAGUGGUCAAUCCGAACAAGAGAUUAAGAACCAAGACCCCCAAUUAUGCAAAGAGUACUAACAACGCUUCAAAGAACAUUUUCUCGAAUGGCAAACGGCCGCUAAAACCAAGAAAAGUCAAACCUUAAUAACCUUCAGAUCAAGAGCAAAACGCACUCGAGAAUUCUCCCAGUAACCACAGUUGGCCCAGAGCAUGAGUUGACACCGAAAGGGAUUGCCAAGAGGCAAGCUCAUAAGAGAAAGCCACGAAAGAAGAACGGAUCCCACAAAAAAGGAAUAGAACUUAUACGCUCGCUGUGGGGAAGGUAAGGAUUUCUGGUUGGACUUUAUGCUGGACGGGUACGUGAGUAUGCUUGGGGAGCCGCUUUGCUAGCUUGCUUUGUACACUCGGACUCAUGUGGAUAGUAGCUCCACGUUCAUAACGCUUUGUCAGGCAAUUUCCAGAAAGAUAUGUCGUCUUUCGGGCACCCCUACUAUGCUUUCUAUUUAGUUCAGGCUCCCCAGGGACGAAGUAGACCUACUCUGGUGUGUAGGAAGGCAAUAUUCUCAAUUUCUCAAAGUGCUUUAGGUUCUUAGUUUCAAUCGGCUACCUUUGAUCUCUUCUCUUCGUCAUCCCGCUUAGAAUAACUAUCAGAAUAAAGAGCUUGGAUUCUAUAUACCACCAGCUUUCCUUUCGGGGUCAGGAAAUAAGGAAUAAAGGGAGUCAAGCCAUUCUUUGCUUUGUCAGAAGUCCCAGUAUCCGGCACUCCAUCUCUUUCGAGGCUUUAUUUCUUUCAUUUCGGCUUAGCUUUAAGAAGGGCUUUCGCUUAAGGACAUAGAGAGACUUCGAACUGCUCCAAAUAGAAAGGUUAAGCCCGCGUAUAAAGACUUGUAACUGGACCUUAUUACCUCUCAAUGAAAGAACGAACUUCAGUUACCUAGCAUCAAGCUUGCUACCCUUGAUUGCAUUCUUACUAGCACAAGCAUCAGUCUUGGAGUUACUGCUUUCAGGCUUAAGAACCCCGAUAAUGGCAGGGAAUCGAUAGGAAUACAGAGGGAAUCAGCGGGCACCGCAUCAGUCUACCUAGCAGCUGUACCAGAGCUACCCCAUACUUCAAAUACCGAGCAUCAGUCCGGUUAGCACAAGUUUCAUCCUGAUACUACUUGGUUCUAUUCUUUGAUUUAGUGGUUUAAUCCUAACCUCCUCCGCUCCCUUCCUAUCCUGUGACUACUAAGCUCCAGUCUUCCACAACCCAGUUUCAGGCUUGCAUCCCGUAUUCAUAGCUUGGAGUUCAGGCUUGGACUCCUUUGUCUCAGUCACCAAGCAACUACUAAUGACCAAGCCUCCAACUAAGCACUAAGUAUACGCUUGGCAGUUGCAAGAGAAGUAAUAAGAAGAGUAGAAAGUAAGGCAGAAAGAACCUCAUUUCUAUCUACAUUUAUGAGAAGUAGUAAUGUUAUGGCAAAGCUGUAAGGCUGUAAAGAAGCUGAGAAGCAAGGAACCAGUCACUAGUUACGCUAACUGAGCUCCCUCCCUCCAUUUUGAAAGCAAUGUGCUGCUAGUAAAUAAUUGAUAUAUUUUGAGUAAGCAGCAAAUGGUUCACUAACAGAGCUUAUUAUUCGUUGCUUGUUGGUUCCGCAUAGUUAAUGGUUCUUAUCUUGUCUUAUGCCAAUAUUCUAUCUUCCUUAGAGUUGCGCUAACAUUUACUGGCUUGAGUCUCGGGGUGCCUACAUUCGUGCUUUUUAGUCCAUAGCUGAGCUAUUACUCUAUUCUAUUGUAUUAUGUCUAUGUUCCUUUCUUUCGCCUGAGUGCCUAGCUCUGACUUUCCGGGGUGCCUAAGGAAGCAAUGCAGUUUUUCCUCUAUUCUCGUCCUUUUAGGAAGUAAUGCACUG